AAGAAAAAAUAUUUUAAUUUGUUUUGUGACUCCAACCUUGACUGUAUUUUUUAAUUCAAAAAACUUAAAAACAUGAUGAAAAUUACCACCAAGAUAGUAUUUGUUAUGAUCUUUCUCGCUUUGGUAGCCACUAACGGUAUUUUGUUUUUCAUCUUAUUAUAUGUAUUUUUUUUAUUCUAAACAAUUUUAUUAAUUACUUUCUUUCAAUCUCCGAUCCAAAUUGAGGCCACAGAAAAAGAAUCUAGCUAGUAUAGCAUUACAUCUUUAAGCCAACUCGAUUUUGGUUGAUAUAAGAUGUUUGUAUUUUCUUUUUUUUUUUUCCCUCUCUAAAACAAUAAAAAAACAUUUUUUACUUAAAUUAAGAAUGUGGAUUUUUUUAGAAAAUAUGUAAGAGAUUUUUAAUGAAAUGUUUUUUUAAAACACUGUCUUUUAAGAAUAAAUUUUUUUUAAUAAAAAAUAUUCAAAAAAAGAAAAGAAAAAUGUUUUAAAAGUCAAUUCAGACACAUUUAUGCUUUUUCUUUUUUUUUUCUCUGUGUUUUGUAAAUUUUUUAUGAUGUUCUAAAUAUAUUAUGUAUGACUCUUUUCCCCUUCUUUAUUUUUAUUUUUUAUUUUUUUGUAGGGUCUGGUCUUCAAAAGACACCAACAAACAUGGAGCUUCAAAAUCAUUGGAUUGGUGGUUGCAAUUGGCCUGGUGGUUGCAAUUAUUUUGCAAAAACUUGUGCUCCAUUUAUUCCUGUGUGUAUAAAAGGUGUUUGUAGAUGUAAAAGGACAGGCAAUAAUAUUGAAAAAACAAAACAAGAACGCCAUAAUCGCAUAGAUGGUGAAAAACAAAAUUAGUAGGUACAUAUCAUUAUAAAUAAUGUAAUAUUUGUCAGCAUAUAUUAGAGAUGAGUAUGUGUGGCUUAUAUGACUUAUGUAUGAUAUAAAAUAAAAUAUUUCAAUAAUAAAAAUAUUGAAAUUUAAUAAUUUAUUGUUACUCAUGGAUGUAAAAUUUGUGAUGUCUUAUAUAGUUAUUAUAUUACCAUGGAAUUAUUAAGUAAAGAAAUAAGUUUACAAGUAGUAAUUUCAAAAAUUAAUUUUUUUUAAUACUGAUGCCACAGCCAUCCGUAAGUAAUAAUAAAAAUAAAAUCAUCCAUAAAAUUGUUUUGUCGGUAAAAUAGGUUCUAAAAUUAUCAACAGUAAAAUAAUCGAUGGAUAUUUUUUUUAUGUUCGUUCUCGUCAUGAGUAAUGACAAAUUUUCUAGUAGUGGUAAUUAUUAUUUAUUUGCUAUUAUUUUUGAGGAUCAGUCUUUUCAAGCAGUAAAAAUAGAAUCUGCAAUAUAAAGAUAGUUGGAAUUUACUGUUGUGAAUAAUAAAUUCUGUUAAACCUGUUUGGUAUAAAUAAUAGGUUUACCUUUUAUUUUGGAAAAUUAGUUGAGAUUUGUAAUUGACUUUCUCAAAGUAUUGAGUGCAUUCAAAAGUAAUAGUUGGUUAGUUUCUCUAAUCAAAAAGAGUUCUUUUUCUCUGUACACAUUAUAAUUUUUCGUUCUUUGUUCUUUAUUCUUCUUUCUUACUUCUUUCAAGCAAUUUGUUUUGAGUUUCUAUAUGGUAUCAAGAGCUUUUGGAUUCUUCAAUCAUGACAGAUGCAUCUGUUAACUCCAAUUUUGGGAAUUCAAAUCCCUCCCAUUCUGCAAAUUCAAAUCCUAUCAACAAUGUUAUUGCAAACAAUUUUUCUUUCCCACCACAUCUACUAAAUUUGAGACCUUUCAACCCCGUUAGUGACAAGCUUGGAGAAAAGAAUCACAAGACUUGGGAGCAGCAGGCAUUAGCAGCUAUUAGAGGUCAGAAAUUAGAGGAUCACUUGUUUUCAAAUUGUGUUCCAAAAUCAGCAAAAUUUUCUUGAAUCUGUUACCUAUCAACAGUGGCUCCAAGAUGAUUAUAAUCUUCAAUCCUGGUUGCUUGCUUCUAUUGAUCCUGUGUUCAAGAACAAAAUGGUUGGCUACACACUUAGUCAUCAAAUUUGGACAAAGAUUGAAGAGUACUUUGCUAAAUCAACAAGAUUUCGAGUGAAGUAGCUAAGGCUCAACUUAAGGCCAUCAAGAAACAAGGUCAAAGCCCCACUGAUUAUGUUUUCCAAAUAAAAAAUAUUACUGUUUCAUUAGCUGCUCUGGGAUCUCCUUUAACCACAGAAGAACACAAGGAAGAUCUUCUUGAAGUACUGAGUGAAGAAUAUCAAAUGAUUCUCACUACAGUAAAAACAAAAUCAGAAUUAUACAGUCUAUGUAAAGUUGAAACUAUCAUCAUAUCUUAUGAUGAUAUGCUGGACAAGUUUCGCAGAUCUACAAACUCUAUGGUACAGGCUAACUUCACCCAAUCAUCUUUUUCAUCAAUUCCUAAUACUAGCAGAGGUUUUGGAGGUUGAAGAGGUCGUGGUGGUAGAUCACAAAGAGGUGGCCAAUCUUGUUAUUCCUCACCAAGGCCACAAUGCCAAAUUUGUGGUCGCUUUGGCCAUAUUGCUUGGUAUUGUUGCAAUCGUUUUGAUUAAAACAUUCCUCCACCAUCACAAACCUUCCAAGUAAAUUAACCUGGACAAUUUUCAAAUGCUGCAAAUACUAAUUUUUCUACAACUAAUCAGAAUUUAGCCACCACACCACCACUACCUUUCCCAUCAUUCUAUAAUCCUACAACAUACAUAGCAGACCCAGGAAAUAUUUUAGAUCCUUCUUGGUAUCCAGCUACAGGGGCUUCCAAUCACAUUACACAAGACUUAUCAAAUUUUAUUUCCUCUUCAGAUUACACUGGUCCUGACAAAAUACAAAUUGGUAAUGGUGCAGGUUUGCAUAUAUCUAAAGUUAGAAGUUCUUAUCUAUAUGCUUAUGACUCAAAUAGAUUUUUUCAAUUACAGACAUUAAUAUACUCACCUGAAAUCACUAAAAAUAUAAUUAGCGUUUUUAAAUUAGCUGAAGAUAACAAUGUGUAAUUUCAAUUUCAUGCUCAUGUGUGUUUUGUUAAAUGCCAGUGGACUGAUAAGGUGCUGUUACAAGGGUAUAGAAAAGGAGGAAUCUACAAAUUCUAUGAUGUUCUUGCACCUAACACAUCUUCUAUUUUACCAAAACCAUGUGUCUUUACUGCUUCUAAGAUUUCUUUAGACUUGUGGCAUAAAAGAAUGGGCCAUACAGCCAUAAAACUGUAAUUUCUGCUCUUUCAAAUUGUAAUUCUGACUUGGUUCAUAAUAAAAAAAAGUUGAAUUCAGAAGUGUGAGAAUUGCAUGAAUGCCAAGAUUCAUAAAUUGUCCUUUACUUCAUCCAUUUACUUCAUCCCCUUACUGAUGUUUGGGGCUAAGCACCUGUGAUUUCUCACUUGGGUUUUAGAUACUAUGUGACAUUUAUUGAUGCUUUCUCUAGGUACACAUAUUUGUUUCUUCUUGUCACUAAAUCUCAAGUAUUUCAGGCUUUUAAACUCUUUAAAUAGCAAAUAGAGAAUCUCACAGGAUAUAAAAUCAAGGUUCCUCAGUCUGAUAAUAGAGGUGAGUACACCUCAAACCAGUUCACUCAAUUCAUGGCUGAAUAAGGUAUUAUUCAAAGAUUUGGUUGUCCAUACACCCCUGAACAAAAUGGCAGGGCUAAAAGAAAACAUAGGCAUCUCAUUGAGAUGAGCAUUGCUAUGUUAUCUACAGCCUCUAUGCCAUUAACAUAUUGUGAUGAAGCUGUGCUAAUAGCCACCCAUAUCAUUAAUCGCAUUCCCACCCAGAUUUUGGAUAAUAAAUUUCCAUAUGAAACACUAUUCAAAUCCACACAUGACUAUGAUCAAUUUAAAGUCUUUAAUAGUAUUUGCUACCCUUUUUUUAGACCUUAUAGCAAAACAAAACUUGAUUUUUGAUCUCAUAGAUGUAUUUUUAUUGGAUAUGCUCUAAAUUCAAAAGGCUAUAAGUGCCUUUUUCCUUGUGGCAAAAUUUACAUCACAAGACAUGUUCAAUUUGAUGAAACAUCCUUUCCUUACAAAUACUUAUUUUUUACACAUUCAUUCCCUUCUUCUUCUACACCGGAUACUUCUAUACCUAGUAUAGGUUCUGUUAUAUCCUCCACUAUUUCUAAUCACUAUUAUACUCACAUUACGAAUAAUACUUCUCUCUCUACUGCUCUUAACCUUAACAAGUUCAAUACAAUACAUGUUAGCAGUAGUAAUUAACCUCACACCAAUAAUUCUUCGUCCAACACUUCUUCCAUUAGUGCCGUCUCUAAUACUGAUCUUGCUAAUCCUAGUAAUUGUUGGAAAAACUCAACAAAGGUUCAAAUAAGAACCUGUCUAACAGCGGAAGCACCAAAAAUAAUUUUUCCACAACCUGUGUGAUUAAAUAAGCAAUACCAAAGAUACUCUAAGUAGCAAAUAUAAUGGCAAAAAUUAAAUAAUCAGACACCAGAAUUUUAACGUGGGAAAACCCCAAAAGAGGGACAAAAAAACACACGGGACCUAGUCCAAAAAAAUCUUCCACUAUCAGAAUAAUGGGUACACAAACAGUCUUCCUAGUAGCACUAGGGCAUCUUAACAAUCAACAAAAUACAUCAUCAAAACUGAUGAAAUCAACAUAAACCCUCCACAAAGUGGGUAUCUCAAAUCAGUCAAAAGAGAAGGCAAUACAACUAGCAAGUUAUAUCCUAAUGUUCAUCUCUACACCAGGAAUAAGAUACUAAAAUUUCAUAAGAAACGGAGCAAGUUUACCAGUUCAAUCGGAUCAAAGUUGGCUUGCCCUUUUCCCCCAAAUUCUUCUUCUCCUUCGACGGCUCACUGUUCCCUUUUUUCUUUUGUUUCAAAAUGAGAGAGCCUUGCUCUCAUUCUCUCUCCCUCUGUGGCUUUUUAGCCACUUCUUUCCUUUUUUUCUAAAAAACUGUGGGCCCCACUUAGUUGGAGACCCACCAACGAAUCUCCCCCUCACCAACUCAAGUGGGGAUAGGCUGCUCCACCAAGCUCGCCUUCUCUUUGCAGGAAUCAAACUUCACUAUAGGUAAACUCUUAGUCAUCAUAUCUGAAUCAUUAUCAUCAGUAUGGAUCUUCUCAAGUGCAUAUGACUUCAUCUCAAGUGCUUGACGUAUCCAAUGAUAUCUCACUUCUAUGUGCUUCGAUCUGGAAUAAAACGUCAGAUUCUUGCUGAGAUGGAUAGCACUAUGGCUGUCACAAAAUAACACAAGCUUCUCUUGAUUGAUGCCUAAAUCUUGAAGAAAUUUCUUCAUCCACAAGAGUUCCUUAGAAGCUUCAAGAACAGCAAUGUAUUCUACCUCUGUUCUAGACAAAGCAACACAUUUCUGAAUUCGAGAUUGCCACGACAUAGCUCCCCCUGCAAAUGUCAUCAUAUAACCAGAAGUAGACUUUUUUAAAUCAAGAUCCCCAGCCAUAGCUGCAUCUAUGUAACCAUCCAACAUAGGUUGGCCACUCCCAAAGCAUAAACAAACUCUGGAAGUACCAUUAAGGUAUAUGAGAAUCUACUUCACUGCUUGCCAGGAUUAGAGAGAAAACGACUAACAACUCCAACGACAUGAGCAAUAUCCGGCCUGGUGCAAACCAUAGCAUACAUCAAACUGGCAACUGCAGAUGCGUAUGGAAUCUUCUUCAUUUCUGCUUUCUCUUUCUCACUUGUAGGACAUUGCUGUGAACUCAGCUUGAAAUGACUAGCAAGUGGAGUACUAACAGGUUUGGAAUUACUCAUGCUAAACCUCUCUAAAACCUUCUCAAUGUACUUCUGCUGCGACAACCACAAUUUUUCAUUCUUCUUGUCACGAGUGAUACUCAUGCCAAAGGAUUUUCUUUACAGGACCCAAAUUCUUCAUAGCAAAGGAUCUGUUCAAGUCUUUCUUAAGACUUUCAAUCUUCUUAGGCCCAGUUUGGAUAAAUAACUUAAUUAAGUUACUUUUGAAGAAAUAGCUUAAAUAAUAAAUGCUUAUAUUAAAAGUAGCUUAUAAAUAAGUUAUUUUGUGUUUGAUUUUUUAGUUCUAAAAGUACUUAUUUUAAGAGAAAAGUGAUAAAAAGAUUUUUAUUAUGAGAGAAGUCAUUUUUUUAACUUCUCCUUAAGCACCAAAAUAGCUUUUUAGAAAGUUGCAAUUUUAUUUUAAAAAUUGUACCAGACAUUAAUACUACACCUUUUCAUAAGUUAAAAGUUAAAAAAAGUCACUUAUGAACCUAUCCAAACGGGCCCUUAGUGUCAUGACCAACAAUCAACAUAUCAUCAACAUAAAGCAAGAGAAUUAUAAAAUCACCAUCAGAGAAUUUCUUAACAUAUACACAAUGAUCAGAAGAAGUUUUACUAUACCCAUGACCUUCCAUGAAGGAAUCAAACUUCGUGUACCACUGCCUUGGCGCUUGCUUCAACCCAUAUAAGCUCUUCUUCAACUUGCAUACAAGGUGCUCCUUUCCUUUAACCUCGAAACCCUCUGGUUUCUCUAUAUAAAUUUAUUUAUCUAUGUCACUGUGAAGGAAUGCAGUCUUCACAUCAAGCUGCUCAACCUCUAAAUUCAAGCUAGCCGUCAAUCUAAGCACAACUCGAAUAGAGGACAUCUUCACAACUGGAGAGAAAAUCUCCUCAAAAUCAAUACCUUUCUUUUGCUCAAAACCUUUCACAACCAAUCGAGCUUUGUACCUUGGUCGUGAGACAUUUUCAUCCGCUUUCAAUUUGAACACCCAUUUAUUCUUGAAUGCUCUCUUACCCUUCGACAACUUCACCAAUUUAAACGUAUGAUUCUCAUGCAAGGAUUUCAUUUCUUCUUGCAUGGCCUUCAACCAAUAUCCUUAUGCUCAUCAAAUAUAGCUUCCUGGUAGCUCUCUGGCUCUCCAGUCUCAGUGUUCAUCACAUACUCAUGAGGAGAGUAUUUCGAAGAAGGAUGACGCUCUCUAGUAGAUCUUCUCAAUUUAGUCUCAACUGGUGGUUCAGGUGGAACUUUAACAUCUGGCACCUCAGGUUGAGGUGUAGGUUCAUAAUACAAAUCAUCACCAUCAUUAUCAACGUGUACAUCUCCCCCAUCAACAGGAGGUCUAGUGGAAGGACCAGGUUCAUCAUCAGCAGAACGUCUAACAGUUAUUGGCUUAUCUGUCUUCUCAAGAUCUUCAAUAGUUUGGUCUUCAAGAAAAAUCACAUCUCGGCUUCUAAUUAUCUUCUUGCUCACCAGAUCCCAUAAUCUGUAACCAAAGUCUUUGUGACCAUAACCCAUGAAGAUACACUGCUUUGACUUUUCAUCAAGUUUAGACCUUUCAUCUCUUGGAAUGUGAACAAAAGCCCUGUAGCCAAACACUCGCAAAUGACUAUAGGAGACAUCUUUCCCUCUCUAAAAUUUCUCUGGAACAUCACCAUUUAGUGGAAAUGAAGGAGAAAGGUUGAUCAGAUCUACUGUAGUCCUCAUCGCUUCACCCUAAAAGGAUUUAGGCAACUUUGCAUGAGAGAGCAUACACCUGACUCUAUCAUUGAUAGUGCAAUUCAUUCUUUCUACAACUCCAUUAUGUUGAGGAGUCUUAGGAACCGUCUUCUCAAGUUUGAUCCCAUGUCCUUUACAAUACUCUUCAAACAGACCCUUGUAUUCACCACCAUUAUCUGCUCGAACACAUUUCAAUUUUCUUUUUGUUUCUCUUUCAACACUUGCAUGAAAGUGUUUGAAGAUACCGAGCACCUGGUCUUUAGAUUUCAAAACAAAAGCCCACACUUUUCGAGAAUAAUUAUCAAUAAAAGUAAUAAAAUAUGAUGCACCAUGAAUCUGAAAUCACUCAACAAACAUAUCAAGGCAUCGAAUGAAAUUAAAGUGAAUUAAAUCUAGCUAUUUUAAGCCCCAAAAAGCAUGUUUUUACACUUAAGCACAAAUUAAGGGAGAAUUACAAAACCAUGCUAUUUCAUUGAAUAAAUGUGAGAAAAGUUGUUAAAAUUCCCUAAAUUAAGCACAAGAUAAACCACAAAAUUAGGGUUUAUCACACCACCUAGUGUCUUAGCAUCCAUAGUACAAACAUUAGUGUGAACUAAAUCUAGAACAUGUGAUCUCCUAUGAGGUCCAGAACUAUGAAAUGAUACUUUAGCAUGCUUUUCAACAAAACAAUGAGUGCAAGUAUUUAAAGUUGUACCUUUCACGGGAAGUGAGUGUUUCUUGGCUAAGACGCUUAAUCCUUUCUCGCUCAAGUGGCCAAGACAUAUGUGCCACAAAUCAGAAGAGGAAUCAUCAGCUACAUUCACCUCUUCUUUGCACAACUCUGCUUGCAACCGAUAGAGAGUAGUGAGACUAUUGUCUUCUUUAGUAACAAUGAGAUCCCCUUUGGUAAUCUUGCAUUUUUCACUACCAAAGGAAGUACAAUAUCCCUCUUGAUCCAAUGCCUUCGCUGAAAUGAGAUUGAACCGCAUAUCUGGCGCAUGCCUAACAUUCUUCAACUGCAACUUGCAUCCCAUGUUAGUUUCAAGCCACAUAUCACCCAUACCAAUGAUAUCACACACUCCUUUAUCUCCCAAUUUGAUCUUGCCAAAAUUUCUAGCAGUAUAGGAAGUGAAAAAUUCACGUUUUGGAGUGACAUGACAUGAGGUACCAGAGUCCAGAAUCCAAGUAGAAUCAUCACAGACAAGAUUCACAUAAUUUUUAUCAUAUGUGAUAAGAACAUCUUCAUAAACAAUAGCAGCAGUUUCUUUAUCACUAUCUUUACCUUUGUCUUUGUUUUUUUCCUUUGAUUGUUCUCUUUUCAAGAACCUACAAUACCUCUUGAUAUGCCCCGGCUUGCCAUAAUGGUGACAAAUGAACUCCUUUCUUGGCUUGUACUUUCCUCUUGACUUGCUUCGACUCUCUGACUUGUCAAAACUGUGAGGUUUUCUUCUUUGACUUCUUCCCCGUGACUCUGAAACAAGUGCUUCCGACUGGGAGGAGGCAUUAGUCAAACUUCACUCUCUUCUUCUGGCUUCUUCAUUUAACAUGCUCUCUUUAACCAUUGCUAAUGUCAACUUUUCAUUUGAAGCUGAGUUAGUCAGUGUCACAACCAGAACUUUCCAACUAUCAGGCAAAGAGCUCAACAACAACAAGGCUUGCAAUUCAUCAUUCAAAGUGAUUUCAUUAUUUGUCAGUAGGUUCACCGUCUCCUAAAAAAUGCUCAAGUGCUCCAGCAUUGAUUUACCUUCAAUAUACUUCAUAUUGACAAGCUUCCUAAUCAAGAAUGCUUUGUUUUGCACAUUCUUUCUCUCAUAUAACUCCUUCAAUUUGUUCUACAUCUUCUCGACAUUCGUUUCGGUAUCAACAUGUGGAUACAUGCUAAGAUCAAGCCAUUGCCUAAUCAAAGCAACUGCCUUCCGAUUCAGCUUCUUCCAUUCAGCAUCGGAUUUAGUACCUUUGGAUUUAUUUCCCUCCACAGGAUCAUACAAGUCCUUUCUAUACAACAUAUCUUCCAUGAGGGUCUUCCAAAUUAAAUAAUUUUGGGAAUUCAAUUUGACCAUAUUUGGUCCAUGAGUAUUUUUCUCCAUUUAAUUAGCACAGAAAUAAACAACCAAAGCUCUGAUACCACUUUGUUAGGAAAACUCAACAAAGGUUCAAACAAGAACCUGUCUAACAGCAGAAGCACCAAAAAUAAUUUUUUCACAACCUGUGCGAUUAAAUAAGCAAUACCAAAGAUACUCCAAGCAACAAAUAUAAUGGUAGAAAUUAAAUAAUCAGACACAAGAAUUUUGACGUAGAAAAACCCCCAAAAGAGGGACAAAAAAACCCACGAGACCUAGUCUAGAAAAAUCUUCCACUAUCAGAAUAAUGGUACACAAAUAGUCUUCCUAGUAGCACUAGGGUAUCUCAACAAUCAACAAAAUACAUCAUCAAAACUGAUGGAAUCAACAUAAACCCUCUACAAAGUGGGUAUCUCAAAUCAUCCAAAAGAGAAGGUAAUACAACUAGCAAGUUAUAUCCUAAUGUUCAUCUCUACACCAGGAAUAACAUACUAAAAUUUUAUAAGAAAUGGAGCAAGUUUACCAGUUCAAUCGGAUCAAAGUUGGCUUGCCCUUUUCCCCCAAAUUCUUCUUCUCCUUUGACGACUCACUGUUCCCUUUUUUAUUUUGUUUCAAAAUGAAAGAGCCUUGCUCUCGUUCUCUCUCCCUCCGUGGCUUUUUAGCCACUUCUUUCAUUUGUUUUAAAAACUGUGAGUCCCACUUAGUUGGGGACCCACCAACAGUAAUCUUCAAUCUAAUAUACCAAAUAUCACUCCUAUCUCAGGAACACAUAUAAGCCUCCCUCCCAUUGAUCCUAAUGGUAAUCCAAAUCAACUUUAUAAAUUUCCUCAUGACAAUACCUCUAACUGAUAAUCAUCAUCCCAUGCUUAGAAGGUCUAAAACUAAAAAUUCUAAACCAAAAGCCUGUAUCACUAAGACAUUUUCUGACGCCUCUAUAAAACAGCCACCUAAAAAUUCCUCUACUGCAUUAGCCAUUUCACAUUGGAAGAAUUCUAUGCAAUAACCUAACACAUUAGUCAUAGUGAGUUCAGUAGUCUAAUCCGUUUAGUCACCACUGAAAGAAAUAACCUAACCUAAUAGAUCAAUUAAACGUUAAAUUAUUUUGUUGGACUCUAUAAUUAUACCAAAUUUAUAAUUAGGUCUCUAUAUUAUUUUUUUCUUUUAAUUGGGUCCUUAUUAGUUUUAUAAUUAUUUUGUUGGUCUCUAUAGUUAUACCAAAUUAAGUCACAACAGAAUAUUUUUUGCGUAAAGUAAACAUAUCUAUAAUUAAAAAUCUAAUUAAAUAUCUUACCACAUAUUUUUUGGGAGAAAUAUUCUAUUACUUUAAACAUUUUUGACACAGAAAUAAUUCUAAUUAUAAAAUUAAAAAAUAGUAUAGAAAUUCAGUUAAAAAAAAAUAUACAACGUAUUUGAAAACUUGUAAUGGUAUAGAAUUAAAUUUCAAUAUUUGGAAUGAAUUAGUAAAACUACAGAAUUGAAUUGAAUUCUAGGGACAACUUUAUCCUUUAUUAACAUAAUAUCAUAUUAAAAUAAUAAAUAUGCUUAUUUAUUAAAUUAUAUAUAAAAUAAUUAAAAAAUUGUAUUUUUCAACUAACAUUUUUUUCAACUAAAAUUUGUUCAUAUCUUUUAAAAAAAACAAAAAUUGACUUUGAUUAAGUUAACCUCUUCAACAAAAAUAAACAGAUAGCAAAACUAACUAUAAAUACAAAUUCUAGUUGUUUUACAAGUCCAUUAAAUUGAAAACAUCAUUAGAAAAAUACUUUAAUAUAAUUACCAAUUAUAAGAGUCUCAGAUUAUUUUCGAGUUAUCACUUGAGCAUGAAUAUCCAGAAAUUAUAUUGUCAUACCAAACUCUACAAUUGAUUCUAUAUAUAAGUUGACCUAUAAAAAUCAACAAGUAUACAAAAUAGAAAAAUAGAUAUUGUCUUUAUUUUAAUUUUUUUUAUUUUUAUUCUUCUCAAACAGGUUAAAGAAAAAUAGGUUCACAUAUUUAACCAAUAGCUGUAAAAAAAAAUUCUCUACUAAAAUUAGACUAUACUAAAUAAUAGACUAAGUUUAUUGUUUGCUAUGGUACAAGUAAUUGAAUAAAUAUAUUCAAUUUUAACUAAAAUUUAGAAAAGCACGCACGCAUACAAAAUUAACGUUGUAUAUAUAAUUGUGUUCUUGCAUAUAUAGCAUUGUCAGCACUGAAAAUGACAAUGUAAGAUAUUUUCUUUUGAUAUCUUGUAUUAUCCAUAUAGUUUUUUGGAAAAAAAAAUUCACAGGAAUCUGAGUAUUUGCCACUUGAGAUUUUUUUUUUUAUUUGAAUAUAUGUAUCUUUUCAUUUGUUAAUGGUAUUCGUGGCUCUGUGCAACAAAAACUGAAUUGAAUAAUAAGAAAAACAUAAACUCAAAACAACGAGAGUUGUUCUUAAAACAGGAUUGAAUAAUGAUAUUCUAGCUCUAUGUGGUUUUAGAGUUGUUCUUGCUUGAAUUUUUUUUAUUUUUAUCAUUAUUGUCCAUCAUGCCUCACCAAAAGAACGAAUUUUUAAAAUUUAAAAAGAAGAUACUAUGAACAAAAAAAAAAAAAAUGGAGAUAGAAAAAAAAUAUACGAAAAAGAUAAAGAUUUGGAAGUUAGGAUUUUAUAAGUGUAAACGGAUGAAUUUGAAUAUUUUAGCCAAAUUUUGGACACAAUUUGAAUUGAAAUUAUUGUGUGUCCACAUCAGCAUGUAUCAAACUACCAACUUAAAACUUAGCUGUUCACAUCCGAGACAUUUAAACUUCUAGUAACUUUUGGACUAACGAAAAUUCACGUUUUUUAUAGUAGGGAAUAUAUUUGGUCAUUUUAAAAAGUGAUAUUUUAUGCAAAUUGAAAAUUACAGGGACUAUUUUAGGUAUUACCUUUAAUUUUAAUAUACAUGUAAUAUAAUUAAUGUAACACCCUAACUUCUAGCAUCACGAUCGUACCAAAAGUAAGGCGUUAUUAACCUAAUUCCUUUUAUUAUCUAUUUAAUAUUGAGCCUUUACGCGUAAAUCUAUCGAUGGUUUUACUAAAACUAUAAAUUUUUCAACAAGUGCAAACAACACAUAUUCACAUACUUAAUAUUAAUAAUACGUUAUAGUAGUGUUAUAUACAAAAGAAUUUACAAAACCUACCCCUCUGAAUAAAAGUCUAACUAAUAAGGCGAGGAAAAAAAAAAGUUCUAACAACUCAACUCGUAAACAUAUUCCUCUGUACUCCUGCAACUUCGCAAUAAGCCUUCACACCUGUAGUUGAAAGGGGGUGGAGAUAGGGGGUAAGAAUUGGGGAGUUCUUAGUAGGGUCGGAGUUAGGAGUUAAGUUCGUUUCAUUAUGUUCUCAGUCAAUAAUAACAGUCAACAAAGUAUAAUCCAACUCAGCAAUUACAGAAUACAGAAUCCAAUCACAAGCACACACAAUCAUAGAAAACACAAUCACAAACAAAUAUGCGCAAACAAAUAUGAUGCAUGUCUAGUCCUAUACAGGCCAUGAGCUCAUGUGUCAGUUUGUUGCCCGAUUUUCGACACUGGUCCUGAGAUAAGCGUUUCGUACUGCCGCCCUUAUCUCAGCCAACGUCCCCUCCAUGAGCGUUACGCAUCGCCGUCCUCACGGGAGAAACCUUCCUUUCGGUCUCCACUGAGCGUUACGUAUCGCCGUCCUCACUGAGCCGUCCUUAUAGUAUCAAGUGAGCGUUACGUAUCGCCGUCCCCACUAGACACUUGGCACUAAAGCCCAAACAGCACUCAAUUUCUUUUCAAACUUUGCUCUCUACUCUACUGUGGCAGAUUCCUUUAAUUAAUAUAUUCCCUUCUCUUAUAUUCUCUGCUCUCAUGUGGUAGAGGUUAUUUAGUUUCUUUUAUUCUUUUAAUUCUUUUGUUCUCGGUUAUUUAUUAAAUUAUAUUUUUACUUAACUCAGCAACCUUUGUCUGCGUUUGGCUUCCAGUGUCAUAACCUUUAUAAGCAACCUCUGUCUUACAGGUGCGAAUCUCUUAAGCCUAUGCAUGCAAAAAAAACCUCUAUAAGCAACCUCUGUCUUACAGGUGAGACUCUCUCUAGCCAAUGUAUGUAUUGAUAACCUCUGUAAGCAACCUCUGUCUUACAGGUGCAACCAUUCCCUGGAGUAGCCGAUGUAUAUCUGGAAAGCGAAUCUCAGUGGGCUCACCACCGUAUCUUUACUUAUCUCAUUUUAUUUUCGUUCUUUCUUUCUUUUUUUUCUUUCUUAUCAUUUCACAAUAUAAAUUGUCUUUGCAUUAUUCCCCCGCCUUUCCCUAAGUAUCUUAUAGAAAGAGUAUAAAUGGUUCUUAAUUUAGAUUUGUCUUUCUAAAGUUUUUAGGACAGUUUUCUACUUACCCUUUUAGUAUAUCAUAAAUAAAAUAAUAUAUUUAAAUAAAAUACUAAUAUAUAAUAUAUUUCAAAAAUACAUUGAUAAUAAUCUUAAUAAAUUAAUAACAAUAAUAAUGAUGGUAUCUUUGAGCUUCCUAAAAUAUUUAUAUUCUUACCCCAACACAUUUUAUAUUUUAUUAAAAUAUUCUUACAUAUAAUAUAAUUACCAAAAUAACCUUAAAUCUUUUAUAAAAUAUCCCUUUUAUUUAUAAACUUUUUAAUUAUUACCCAAAAUAUCCAAAAACGUAUAUAAUUACAAAUAGUACCUCAAUUUUUAUAUACAAAUACAAUGUUACCCUUCAAAAAUAAAAUUUAAUUACUAAUCUUUAUUUUAUACCAAAAUCGGAACCCUUAACCUUUUUCUCUUAAAAUAUUACUUGUGCUUAAAUCCAUUCUCGAAUUUUUCGAUUACCGAUUUUUUAUAACUUUUAAUCUUUUCUCUUGGCCAUCAAAUCUCACCAAAUUUAUCUCAAAAUACCAUACCACAACAGCUCCAAAAUCACCAAAACACCCCAACUGGCUGUUCAUACAUAGCCGACCCAACAAAUCACAAGCGACAACAAUAAUUUAACAUAAACUCAUUUAAAUUUAAACAAUAAUCAACCAAAUCAACAUUCACUUAUCAAAUUCACAUUUAAUUAUUCUAAAGUUACCAAAAUCCUACCUCCGUACGAAAUCAAACCAACAGAAUCUUCGAAAAAGUUUUUUGACCAAGCCGCUGAUGAAGAAGAAAACGUCAGGAAUCGUCUGCGCAUCCUAGAACUCCAAUUGACUAAACUCAAAGAGAUACGGAGCUACGUCACUGUCAACUUCUACUGGAUAAAAGUAACGCCAAUGUAUAGAGAAGAAGGAUACGAAUACUUUUACCAGAUUAGAUUUUUUAUUGGAGUUACGAAUCUCAAAAAAUUAGAGCCGGAAAGUCAUAGCUUCCAUGGAAUCCCACACGGCCUUCUCUCUUUUUUUUUUGUUUUUCUUUCUUCUUGCUUCGCGGUUAAGAAGAGAAAACGAGAUGUUGAUGGUGAUGAUUAAUGAAAAGGGGGUUAUGUGUCAUAAUAUUUAUUAAGGGAAUGGAUAUAUAUACAUAUGUGUCAUUGUUAUAUUAAUGCAUGGGCAUAUAUUUACAUUACUAAUCUUUCUUUUUCUUUUACUAUGGUUCGGUCAUGCAAUAGUGAUCCUAACUAAAGCAUGAUGAUUAGAUGUCAAAGGUUAUAUAUAUACACAUUAAGCCUACGUAUAUAUGCAUUAAGCCUGCGUUUUCUUACUUCUUUCCUUUUCAUUCUUUUAUUGGCUUCGGNNNNNNNNNNNNNNNNNNNNNAUUAAAAGAAGUAUUCUUAGACUUGUUUAAAGUGCAAGAUUUGAAUAGUUGAAAAAAAAACAAAUUCAAUGGUUGCAAAUUAUAUAAAUAGUUAUGCCUAUAUUUAUUGUCAUGUUAAAAUCUGAUAGAAUUGUUUUUUCAUAUAAGAAAAAUUAAUAUUCUAAAUUUUGUUUUCCAAAUAUUCUAAUUUGUGUACUUUUGUUUCUCUGUCACCAAGUGCCAAUUAUAUUGUUCUAACUAUGCACAAAUCAUUAUUUUUGUGCAAACAUGUAUAUAUUAUAACAUAAUUCUUCUCUUGUAAAUAAAUCCAGUUAAUUCUCAAAUUCAUCUUUAAAAAAUAACUAAUUUUUAAAUUAAUCUUUAAAAAAAUUUAUUAGUCAUAUUAGAUUUUAAAAGACAUAAUCAUAAGUUAGAUCAAUUUUUCAAUCAAUUAGAUAAUGAUAUUACGUUAAACAUUACGGACAUCACAGACAUGAUGACAAAGUUAGUUAGAUAAUAAUGCAUCACAUUAAGUAUCUUGUAUGCCAUGAUGACAACAGGUUAAUACCACCUAUCAAAAAAUGAUUGAUUAAUAUGUCAUGUCAAGUUAAAAUAUAAGAAUUAUUUUAUGACAUGUUAACCUUUCAUGCACUACAAGAAAAACACACAUUCAGGUACAUUUGAAAAGUGUAGCCAAAAGUGAAAAAAAAAUGAUUUCUUAGGCUAUGGCUACGCUUUCUGGGCUACGGCUAUGUUUUUUGGGGUGAUUUCUAUUCGACCGUUGCCUAUUCUCAAAGGCUAUGCUUUUUUGCACCAAGGGCUACGCUUUUGGCGUUUGGGAAUAGGGUGCGUUUUUCAAGUGAUGCUGUCCAGGACCAAAGGCUACGCUUUUCAGCUUCUAUUUUUGCCAGAAUAGGCUACGCAACGCUACUGCAUCACUUGUAAAGCGUAGCCACAUUGUAUACCAUAUACCAUCUCUAUAUAAGUGUAGCCUUAGGUCUCUCAUUAUUUUUUAAUAUAUAUAUAUAUAUUCUAAUAAUUUUUUCUAUAACCUAAUAUUUAGUAAUAUGAUUAUAUAUAUAAUCGUGCAUUUUUAAUUAAAUUAGUCAAAUAUAAAAUAAAAAUAAAUACACAAUAAUGCUAUAUAAUAUUCUUCAAAUAAUAAAAAUUAUACUNNNNNNNNNNNNNNNNNNNNNNNNNNNNNNNNNNNNNNNNNNNNNNNNNNNNNNNNNNNNNNNNNNNNNNNNNNNNNNNNUCAUAUCACCAAGAUGAUGAUGACAAACUAUUACUUAACACCAAACAACAUCAAUCUCACAUAUGCUUAAAUUCCACGCUAGGAGUGAACUUUCAUUUACUUCCAUAUAUCACUAUCAUUGACAUACAACAUCUGCACAAAAGCAUUGGACAGUAUCUGCUGUUAAAACUGAGACUUGUCAAGACUGUCAAAGUAAGGAUGAUCAAGUGCUGCCUUGGCAGAGAUUCUCUCAGCAGGAUUAUACUUGAGCAUUUUUUGCACGACAAAAUAUCUAGUAUAGUCAGUCCUAAGUUUGUACAGAAGAUAAGUAAACGUAUUAUUAUAGCCAAAUUAAAGGUAACAUGAAUUUUAGUUAUUUCAAAUGCUACAAUAGAUAAUACUUCCCAAGCAACACCUUGUGAGCUACUUCAAAUAACUUAUAAAACUUUAGAUAUAUUACUAUGUAGAGUACUGUUUAACAAAUGCUAUUCAAGUACAGUCCAGACCAGUUCAACCUUUAAACUAAUAUUAGAACUGCGAGUUUCUACCGCUAUUAGAAUGUAAAGUGAGAAAGUGAGAAACUAAUCAUCUUGCACCCUUGCAUCAAUAACUUCAUUGUGUUUAGGCCCUAACAUUGUUGCUUUACAGUUAUCUGUCCUCACUUUAGAGGAUCCUAUUCUUAGGAACUCAUUAGAAUAAUGCUUUUAUAGAGGAACACAAACCGUGAGAAGGUCUACUCCAUCAGGUCCCAAAGUUGGCACAGUCCUCGCCAAGUUCUGAGGUUCCCACUUUGGGUAGGUAUGCCAAUCACGAAGCAAAGUAACUCCUGGCCAUUGCUUCUCAGUUGGAGUUCCCAAAAUCCUGGAAAGAUCAAAUUCAAAAAAAAGUAGUUAGUAUGAGAGUGAAAAAACAGCAGAAAAAAUUUUCUUUUCCUAUGAUCACCAUAUAUUUCAGAGCAGAUUUCUUUAACACUGGUCUAUUCAAAGUUGUUAUUAGAUUCUUGUACAUAAGGCUGAGUAAAAGAGCAGCAAUGUCAAGCGGUUAAUAUUGCAAUCUGGCUUUUCCACCAAGUAAGUUUCAAAGAAGUACAUAAAGAUAUUAAAAUCCUAUAUGUUUCUGACAUGUAAUAUUAUCACAGUCAUACACAGAUUAAAAUCAUUUUCAGAUGGGGCACAUGACAACUCAAAGUUUCUUUCCAUUUCAUUUUAAUUUCGUGCAUCAGUAACUUGCAAAGUAGUACAACACGAAAUGAAAAAUCUGAACAGACAAUGAGUCUAACUCAUUUAUUGAACAAAUUUUGGCAUGAAACUGAAAUGCAGAAACCAUAAUACCUGACUUCAAUUUCUCAUCCGGCCCAGUCAAGGGCUUUCUGAGCUGGUUCGGUCAAUGGAGGAUGCUCGGGGCUAAAGAAAUACAAGUCAGAUUUCCCAAGUAGCUCUGUUAUUUCUUCUGGUACUUUGAAAAGAGAAAUUCAAUUGGCUCUCAAGAAUUUUGCAGCUUUACUUGUUCCUAAAAGAAUACAAAAAAAAAAAAUUAUUUUAGUGCUUAUGAGUAGAAGAAAGGCACAGAGCUAUAAAUUUAGAAAAUGGAUUCAUUCAACUUCAUGAAAUCAAGAUGGAAGGACAUUGCUGCAAAUCAAAUUUCAUUUAGUAUCUAAUCUAAAUUCCGACCUGAUCUUCCCACGAUCUACAACCAUAAAAUUUUAAGCAUAUUAAAAUUCUAAACUUAAUCCACCAAACUUUUAACUAUAGCUGAUGCAUCUGCAUUACUCAAUAGUAGUCCAAGUUUAAAACUAUUGCUUAUUUAAGCAUCCACACAACAUAAACCACUAAUUCACAAAUGUGGUAUAAGGAUAUUAGAUAAACAAGCUAAUAUUAUGAAAUAUUGAGUGUAUAAGCAUAAGGCCAUGGCAAAAAAAGAACUAAUAACUAUGCAAAUGAGCAGUUCCAAAAAAGGAACAAAACAAUGCAUCCAGCCAUCAUGAUCAGAUCAGAGUAAAGAAAAAUAAGAGUCAUAAGAGCAAUGCACAAUUUUCUAAUAAUCUGUUCUCAUGAAGGCUCUUUAAAGGAAAAUGAUUUUGCACUCAGUUAAUUUUUGGGUGGUGGGGAGGUGAGAUAAAAAUCGAACACAACCCUCGGAUUUCAUGGCCAAAAGCAAAUUCAUAUACAGCUUUUGCAGCAAGCUUUAUGUACAUCCUUUGUGCACCAUUUACAACCAGCAGUGAGGAUCAUUAAACGGUAAUUGUAGAUAUGGAUUCAAGUUAGAUUCAGAAUUCAAUUAUGUAAUCUACAAACCAAAUAAAUUGAAGCUUGCCGAAGACCCCCCAACAAAAUUCACAUGAUUAAAUUUUUCAAAAAACUCUAUUUUACUCUGUAUUAUAAUUUAGAUUUGAAACAAUAAAAGUAGCAUGCAUAGCAAUCACCAAUUAAAAAUUUCUUAGCUAAGACUACAGAAAUUUGCUGCUGAAACAGCUAAGCUAAGACAAAAUUUUUCCCAUCAAUUGUAUGUUAAAUUAGUCCGAAACUCUGUUUCAAUUCCAUGCUAAAGUUUUGCAAAAAAAUCCUAAAAAAUAACUAAAGUACUAUCUCUAAUUCCAGAUAAAGUACUAGUAAGGAAUGGAAGUAUUAACAUCAACAAAACACAUUAACUUUCUGGUUCAAAUAUAGAACAUAUAAUUUUAACCAAGCCUAACCACAACACUAUCUCACAUCUCCUACCCAACUUUUCAAGAAAACAAGACAACACAUGAUGAUUUCAUUUGUUUUAUGCCCAAAAUUCGAAAACAAAAUGCAAAAUCAACAAACCCUAACAAAGAAAGAUGCAAAAUCAUAAAGCAAAAUGCAAAAUAAAAAAGAAAACUCUAACAUAGUAAGAAGCAAAAAUUACAAAAGAUUGUAGAACUCCAAAAAUCAGAACAACAAACCCUCAAAAAAAUCACAAAACCAGAAAAUUCAUACACACCAUUGUCUCGGUUCAUCGUCACUACCAUAUCAGUUCUCCAUCGCGGUGAGUGAAGAUGAACCAGUUACAAACAAAGAGUGGGGAAAGAGGCAUACCAACAGUCUCGUUGCUGCUUGAUGUUUUGAUUUGAGUUAUCUCCUCCGCUGCUUGAUACACAAAAUCGCAAGAAAAGACAAUAGACGAACGAACCUGGGGCUUGUGGUGAACGAACCUAGAAGAAUGAGUUCUCCUAUGCCACAACACAAAAUCACAAAAUCAAUUCAUGAGUUCACAGAUUAUCGUACCAAACCCCCAAAUUGAAACCCUAAAAUUGGAACCCUACAUUCUCAAAUUUCAGAAAACCAAAUGAAGGUGGAUGCAUACCUUCUCGACGAUGGUGAGCAAAUGAAGAGAGGCUUUCAGUUGAGCGCAACGUCUUCCUGAUGUGAGCGCACAACGAAGAGAAGCGACGGUGCGGUGAAGAUGAGUGACGGCGUGGUGAGUGGUGAAGAUGAGUUAGUGUAGAGUCUUCCUGGAGGUGAGUGGUGACGCCGUGAGUGGUGUGGUGAUGGCGGACCCUUUCUCUGAUUUGGGGUGAUGAGUGGCGCGAAGAAGAAGGGAAAAGCUAACAAGGGUGAUGAUGAGUGUUACGUUUCAUUCGCGAUUUGGUGAGGGUUUUCGCGAUGGUGAGGGUUUUCUUCUCUGAAAGGGUGAUGAUGACGAGCUUUGGAGGGAAUGGGUAACAAUUUCACUAAGUUAAGAGGGAAAAAAUGUGAGCUGGGUGUGCGUACUUGCGGGGAAAGUUAAGAGGAAAAAAAUUCACUAAGUAUCAAAUUUUUUGUUCUAGAUACAUUAGGCAUCACUUUUAAAACGCACCCAAAACUUAACAAAUAGGCUACCCUCUAAAAGCGUCCUCUUUGAUACGAAAAGUGAACCUAUAGAUAUCAACCUACGGCUACGCUUUAUAAGUGAUUUCUAUAAUACCUAAGGCUACACUUUUUAAAUGAUGCCGCAAUUGUGUAUCCUUUUCUCUUAUAAAAAGGCAACACGGAAAAAAGCGUAGCCUAUUCAUAGAAUAGGCUACGCUUUUCAAAUGUAGCUUAAAAAAGUGUGGCUGAAUAGGUAUUUUUCUUGUAGUGUCAUGUCAUCGCACUACUAAAAAAGUUAGUUUUAGCGACAAAUUUUUAGUGGCCAUAAUACAAUAGUUACUAUUAAUUUUAUUUAAGUUAUGUUUUAGUGGCAAUUAUACAUUUGUCGUUAUUAUUAUAUUUUAUAAUUGCAAUGAUACCUAUUGCCACUAAAUUAUUACUAUCUUUUUAUUUUAGUUCUAAUUUUUUUACAUCAACAACGGCAAUUACCAUUAUUGCCGCUAAAUUUUUUAUUUUAUUUUUAUUUUUAUUUUCAUCGUCUUCUUCCAUCAAUUGCCAAACAUACUAAAAAACUCUCCCACCCUAAAUCAGAAACUCACAACAGCACAACCUCAAGCAUUCCCUUUAUCGCCGACCACUGUCGCAGACCCUGCCAUCGCCGACUUCCGUUCAUCAUUCAAACUGCAUGGUUGUUCCUAUUUUCAUCCUCCGCCUCAGAUCCGCAUUGCUGUCUUCAUUUCUUCGUUCGUCUCAGAUUUAUGUCGCUACGGCAGAACUGGCAACACUUUCAUCUUGGCAGCAAGGAAGUUCGAUGCGGAGGUUGAGGAGCUUCUUGAUUGGAUGCUCGCUGCAAAAUUCCAAGCUUGAGCCCUUGUUCUCCAAGCUCUUCCUUCUCUGCAUUUCUCUUCUCCUCUCUCUCUCUUUCUCAAUUUUAUUUGUUAGCAAUUUUGAGUGUUUUAGUAUUCAAAUUUGAAGAUGCUACUGCUAAUUUAUUGAAUCUGUUUAGUUGAUUACAUUUCACUUUUUGCAACCCUAAUUCUGAUGUUACGCCACUGCUAUUGUGAGUGCAGGAUUUUGAUGACAUGGAUAAGCGCUUGAAGGAUAUAGAAGAUGAAACUGCUGCUAUUAAAGAGAUGCAAGCCAAGGUCAAGAAGGAGAUGGGAUCUGCUCAGGGUAGCUAUUUUAAUUUUUAUUUUGUAAAUGAUUUCUCGUUCUGCAUUGAUCAUAGCUUGAGAUUUGUCAUUUUUUGAUAAAUUUAUCAAAAAGGAAAUGAAACUUGCUAAUGAUAAAUUUGUCAUUUUUUGAUGAUAUUGUAUAUAGAUGCAGGUAGUAGUGUAUGUUAUUGAGAGAUAAGCUAAGAUCGAUCAAGGAAUCAUUCAUCAAUAAUAAUGAACUAAUCUUCAAACAAUAAUAACUGGCUUUCAUUCCCUCUUUCACCAACUCAUCAUCAAGUCACUACUCAUUUGUGCUAUUCUUUAACAUUUCAUUGGCAUGUUUCUAUGAAUUGUUCAUUCCUUCGUUAAUGAUUGCUUCACUAAGUGAAUCAAAACCUAGUAGUUCAACAAUUGAGGCUCCACUGACUAUACAUGCUCCAAUUUGUAAUUCAUCUAAAACUUCUAACAAGGGCUCACAAUCCUCUAGUUUGAUGCAUGGAACAAAGAUUAUUUUUCUGAUUACUAUUAAGAGACAGACACUGCCAGCUGUAUCAUUGACAGAUAAUAUUGAAAGCAAGGGAUUAGAUGGUAGCAACAUGGCUUCCAAAAAGAGGAAAAUAGCAUGGUCAGAGAAAAAGGACAAUCUGCUACGAGAUGUUGUUCAAAGAUUUGGUGAAGGGCAUUGGGCUACCAUUGCAAAAGGAGGCAACUUUCCUGUUAAGAGAACUACUAAACAGACAGAUCAAGUAACUAUUUCAACUUUAGCUUGCAAAUUAUGUGAUCUUUAUAUCAACUGUUGUUAUUUAGUUUCCCAGUAUGCAAGUGAAUGUUUAAUUCAGUGUAAAGCAACAUGUAUGUGCAGAAGAAAUAUGUUAUUAGAAGUGGCAAUGGUUGGAGACAAUAACAGCAGCCUGUAUGUCUUAGUACUACCACUGUUACUACACUUUGAUCUAUGAAUAUGUUAUUGUUGCAAAAUACAAAUGGCGUGUGAUUUAAAGUUGAAAAGAAAGUUGGUAUCUUUGAUGCAGGAUGCUGAUGUGGAAAGAUGGGUUCUGCCAAGGAAGGAGUGCAAGUUUGGUAGAAGACAUGGAUAGAAGAGGAGAGGAUCCAGUGAAAAAGGCCUUCAGCAAGAUGUCCAUUCAGUUAUAUAAUUAUGGAGAAAGAUGGGUACUGGGUAGGUCAUUGUUUUGUGAAAAUCUCCAUGUUGUGUCUGUCUCUAAUUGGGUGUCAACGAAUUAAUCUUAAUCUUAAUCUUAAAGUUUGGGUGGAAACAGAUUGAUGAAAAAGUUGCAUCGCAUAAGUGCCACAAGUGGGUCUUUAAAGAGCCCACAAAAUGUGAGCCUAAUAUCUCCAACUAAUGGCAGAGCUCCUUUGAUGCUCUCUCGCUCUCAUUAUUUUCUUCUUUGCUUUUAGCUUCAAAUAAAACAACAUAACCCACCAUUUAAAUCUUGUUUCUAUUGUUUAUGUGUACCUAUCUCAUAAUUGAUUGAUUGAUUCAUCCCAAUUUUUUUUUUCUUUUUGGCCUUAUUUAUUACAACUUCCUCCUGAAUAGACCAACCAGUUUGAUUCUGUCAUUCAGGUCACUCCACAAUCAUUUUUAGGCUUCCCCUUAUUAUUGCUCCUUAAACAUUUAUUUUUAAUUUACCAAUAAAUUUAGUUUUUUUUCUCUGAUUCUUCUUGGAGAGACUAUUGUUAUAAUUCAAGCUGGACAUGACCUUAUAAAUUGUGGGAACAGGUAAUUUGAAGUGAUUUGCUUACUAGAAAUAUUCGAUAAGAUAAUUAGUUCAAAGAGGUUAUCUAUUCAUUUAUUUUUGCAACUGUUAUGCCAAUAUUGUACUACAGUGUUGCCAUGCUUUUGCAAUAGAUAAAUUCCUAUCAUUUUAAGAUCUAUUAAUUCAAAUAAUACGAAGAAUAAACAUGCACCUCAUACUUUGCAGUUAAAAUGCAUGAAAUGUGGAGGGAAAUAUGAGCGUCAGGAAAGGAUGAUGGAUCUUACCGUUGAGAUAGAAGGGGACAUAGCAACUCUGUAGAAGCUCAUUUUGAGUUCAUAGACUUGUAGUAUUUUUUGUUGUUUAGAUUUGUAAUAUGAUUUAUUAUUUUUCAAGAGAAAUUUGUGUAUCAAUAUUUUGAGUUUAAUGAAAUAUCUCAUUUUGUAUUAAUUAAUUUUAAUAUAUUUAUAUUAUGCACAAUAAUAAUCAUUGUUGAAAUGUGGAGGGAAAUAUGAGCGUCAGGAAAGGAUGAUGGAUCUUACCGUUGAGAUAGAAGGGGACAUAGCAACUCUGUAGAAGCUCAUUUUGAGUUCAUAGACUUGUAGUAUUUUUUGUUGUUUAGAUUUGUAAUAUGAUUUAUUAUUUUUCAAGAGAAAUUUGUGUAUCAAUAUUUUGAGUUUAAUGAAAUAUCUUAUUUUGUAAUAAUUAAUUUCAGUAUAUUUAUAUUAUGCAUAAUAUUAUUAAUUGUUAGCAAAAAUAAUUGAGAUUCUAAAAAAAAGGUAGUUCGUUGCUUCUAAGAAAAAGAGUAUAAUAUAACUAAAAAAAGUCUUAAGAUUUUAGCGGCAAUAGUAAUGACCAGUAAAAGUGAAUGAAAUUAUAAUUUUAGAAUUAUUUUUAGUAGCUAUAUAAAUUGCCGGUAAAAUGGGUUUUGGCGGCAAUAAUAAUGGGCGCUAAAAAUGAAUAAUAUUGCAAUUUUAGAAUUAUUUUUGGUGGUCAUAUAAAUUGUCAAGAAAAUGGCCGCUAAAAAUUACAUACUUUUUGCAGCCAUUAAAAAAAUCUUUACCGGCAAAUGUUAUAAUUGCCGCUAAAACCUUUUAGCGACAAAACAUAAGACAGCUAAUGUUUAAUUGCCAGAAAAUGUAUUAGCGGCUAUUUUUAUUGCCGCUAAAAGCAAAAUAAAUGGCCGCUAAAAGUGAUUUUUCUUGUACUGUCGUGCCACGCGACACUUAACGUGAUACGUUAUCAUCUAACUGACGAAAAAUUUGAUUUGACUUAUAAUUAUAUUUUUCUGGGACUAAUAUAAUCAACAAAAUUUUUAAAAAUAAUUUAAAGAAUGGAUUAUGUUUCACCUGAAAAUUCAAGGAUUAACCCCUCCUAAAUCUAAAUUACUGUUUACUACAUCAUUGAAUAAGCCUCCUUCUACUAAAAUUACGUUAUCAAAUAAUCUUAAUCCUAUUACAUAAAUUAAUCACAAUUGAUUACCAACAAAUUUAGAUCGUGCAAUAUAUUAUGAUUUUAAUUAAUAUGUGCCAUAAGGGUAAAUAUANNNNNNNNNNNNNNNNNNNNNNNNNNNNNNNNNNNNNNNNNNNNNNNNNNNNNNNNNNNNNNNNNNNNNNNNNNNNNNNNNNNNNNNNNNNNNNNNNNNNNNNNNNNNNNNNNNNNNNNNNNNNNNNNNNNNNNNNNNNNNNNNNNNNNNNNNNNNNNNNNNNNCAUGUAAUUGAAUUCUUUAUUAAUUCUUCAAAAAUACCAUGUUGUGUAAAAUAGUCUUUUAACUAAUGAACGUAAUUUUAUUUUAUUUAAAAAGUACUUAUAUAUUUGUUAGGUUGAAACAGCUUAACUAUUUUCUAUUCUAUUAAUAAAAAGUGUUUUUGUAAAUAUAUCUAAAUACAACUUUUUCCUUUUAUUUCUGCUUAAGGUACUUCUUUUAACUGCACAAACAAAUACGAACAUUAUUAGAAAAAAAAUGAUGAAAGUGGCAAAUAAUUUAGGGGAAUAUUAUAUUUCAGCAUUAGUUUUAAAAAAAAAAUUAAUUUUAGAGAGAUAUAAUUUACUUAAAAUAUGAAGAAUGAGUAAANNNNNNNNNNNNNNNNNNNNNNNNNNNNNNNNNNNNNNNNNNNNNNNNNNNNNNNNNNNNNNNNNNNNNNNNNNNNNNNNNNNNNNNNNNNNNNNNNNNNNNNNNNNNNNNNNNNNNNNNNNNNNNNNNNNNNNNNNNNNNNNNNNNNNNNNNNNNNNNNNNNNNNNNNNNNNNNNNNNNNNNNNNNNNNNNNNNNNNNNNNNNNNNNNNNNNNNNNNNNNNNNNNNNNNNNNNNNNNNNNNNNNNNNNNNNNNNNNNNNNNNNNNNNNNNNNNNNNNNNNNNNNNNNNNNNNNNNNNNNNNNNNNNNNNNNNNNNNNNNNNNNNNNNNNNNNNNNNNNNNNNNNNNNNNNNNNNNNNNNNNNNNNNNNNNNNNNNNNNNNNNNNNCCAAAAAAAAAAAAAAAAUCUAUAUAUACAGUAGUUAUUGUUAUUAUUAUAAUUAUUAUUAUUAAAUAGUUUUUAAUUUUCAAGUAAUUAUCACUUUAUUUAUAUGCACACAUAAUGAGAGAAUAUGGUCAACUUUGGUUGUCACAAACUAAGAAUAGAAAGUAUUAAUUAAAAAUAUCCACAAUUAAGUAUUUUAUGAAUAUAUUAUAAGUUAUUGUUAGUUUUCGACAUUCAUCCAACUCUAUAAAUAUGCAUGAGAAAGCCUUAAUAGAAGUCAUCAAAAGAGAAAAUAUUUUAAUUUGUUUGGUUACUCCAACUUAGGCUUAAAUCAAAAAAUUUGAAAACAUGGUGAAGAUUACGGUCAAAAUAGCAUUUGUCAUGAUCUUUUUUGCUUUGAUGGCCACUAAUGGUAUUUUCUUUCUCAUCUUCUAUGUAUUUUCUUUUUCUUUUCUAAAAAAAUUUGUUAAUUAUUUUCUUUCAAUCUCCAAAUUGAGGUCACAAAAAAGAAUUCUAGUAUGGUAUUACAUUUUAAAGCCAACUCAAUUUUGGUUGAUAAAAUGUGUUUGUAUUUUCUUUUUUUCUCUCUAAAGCAAUAAAAACAUGCUUUUACUUAAACAAACAACGUGGAUCCUUUUUAGAAUAUAUAUAAGAGAUUUUUAAUGAAAUAUUUUUUAAAACACUGUCUUUUAAGAAUAAAAUUAUUUUUCUAAUAAAAAUAUUUUCCAAAAAAAAAACAUUUUAAAAGUCAAUCCAGAUACAUCCAUUUUUUUUUCUUCUUCUUCUUCUUUAUUUUGUAAAUUUUCUACGAUAUUCUAAAUAUAUUAUGUAUGACACUUUUUUCUUUUUUUCUUUUUUCAUUUUUUUGUAGGAUUUGCUCUCCAAAAAACACCAACAAACAUGGAGCUUCAAAAAAAUAAUUGCCCUCGCCAUGGUUGCAAUUUUUGGCCUGGUGGUUGCGAUUUUUUUAUAAAUACUUGUGCUCCAUUUUUUCCUGUGUGUGAGAAUGGUUGUUGUACCUGUAGAGGGCCGCCGAACAAUGUAAAAACAAAACAAGAACGCCACAUUCGCAUAGACGGUGAAAAACAAAAUUAGUAGGUGCAUACCAUUACAAAUAAUGUAAUAUUAGUCAACAUAUAUUAGCGAUGAGUAUGUGUGGCUUAUGACCUAUAUAUCAUAUAAAAUAAAAUAUUGAAAUUAAAUAAUUUGUGGUUACUCAUGAAUGCAAAAUUUGGGUUGAUUUACCAAAAUAAAAAAAAUUAAUAUUGGAAAAAACCUCUAAUUUUUUGGAUGAGCAAUUUUGAAAAAAAAAAAUAUUAGCCACAAAAAAAAAACAUUUUUAAGUUUAUCGUAUUACUUUUUUUCAGGGGUUGGUCGGAUUUCAAGUUGGAUCCAUAAAAAAAAAUGUACUGGCUUAUUUAAAAAAAAACAUAAGGCAUCCGUUUGGCCCAGGAGUUAACCAACUUAAUUUGCUAUUUUUUCUGAUUAAUCAAACUAAGUCGUUUAAGUUUGUAUUUUUACGAGUUUGAUUUUAGAGUCAAAUACCCAUAUAUAUAAGUCAAGUAAACAAGCUAGUCCAACAGAUUAAUCUAAGAGUUAGCUCAUUUUGACGAUCCUAAUUAAUUUAAGAGUUAGCUCAGUUUAAUCUUUAUUGAAUAAAUUCCAAAAUAAUUUUGAUUCACUACUAGAAAACUAGUUAUUACAGACGGAUAUUUCCGACGAAUUUUAUCCCACGGAAAUACAGACGGAAUUUCAGAGGAUUUUUUGUCGGAAAAUAAAAAAAAAUGAAUUAGCAUAAAUUACAGACAAAAAAAAAAUCCGUCGAUAAUUCUGUCGAAAAAAUUAAUUUAUUUUUGUGAAAAAUAGUUACAGACAAAAAAUCUGUCUGUAAUUAAAUAAACAGAAUAUUGUGAUUUUAUAAAAUUAUUACAGACAGAAAAUCUGUGUGUAAUUUAAAAUAAUCCCUCGGAAAUAUUAAAAUAAAGGAUUGGUUAAUGUUACUCUCAAUCCCUCAUUUCACUUUUUUUUUACGUUUUUCUUGGAUUACUGCCAUGGCUUCUCUCUCUCCAUCGAAGAUUUGACGUCCUCCGCUGUCGCGCCACCGCCGCCGCUCGCGUCGCACAAGCUCCCUCCACCACCGCUCUCAUCGCGUUUUCUCCCUUCAUCACCAUUGUCGCACGAGCUCUCUCCGUCGUGCUCUUGUCUUACGAGCUCCCUCUGCCGCCGCUCUCGUCGCUGCUUCUUCUCUCCUCGCCGGAGGUUUGUCAUCGUCUCUUCUCAUCACCGUUAGUUCAGGUAGGCCUUCGCCUCCUUCUCAUCCCUAACCCUAACCCUUCCAUUGUGACUCUGUUCUGAUUUCAUUAUCCCUAGCCCUAGCCGUAGCGCUAACCCUGUCCUUUUCCUAUUUUGCUUGAAGUUGAAAAUCAAAGAAUACGAUCCAGGAGAGCUCUUAUGUUUGCAAAUCAACUGUUGCUGCUGCAGAGAACUGAGUUUCUAAAUUCUAAGGUAUGAAUUUUGUAUGUUCCUGUAAUUUGUGAAAUCUGAAACAUAAAAAUUUCUAUGAUUGUGGUAUAGAAUGAAGUUUGUUUAUGAACUAUAUAUUUGAAUUGCUAAGAUUUUUUAUCUGGAAUUUGCAUGUUCUUGUUCCUUCCAGUUCUUGUUAUGACUUAUGACUAUUGAUUUUGGCUCCUCCUUCCUGUUCUUGUCUGAAUCUGCUGAAUUGCUUUUUAUCAAGUUUUUUAAAUUUAGAUUUCUCUGCUGAAUAGUUAUAUUAGUUCUUUGUUGAAUUGCUUUUUAUCAAAAUUUAGAGUACAAAAUAAUAGUGAAAAAAAAGACGAAAAUUAGUUUUUUGUGGACUCUUGAAUGAUAUAUGUUGCAUUAUUUAUUUUAGCUUCUGAGCAUUUUUACUUAUGCUCUGGCUGCAAUUUUGAUAGAUUUUCUGAUUUCCUUGCAGUGAAACAUGAUUGUGUGUUUGGUGCUGACUUGGAUUUAAAUGAAAUAACCUAUGUAUUAGGGGUAUAAGAAGCUUCUUCUCCCCACUUAGUGCUAAAUAUCAUUGUUGUUCAAUGCAUUUGAAGGAUUUUUAUUUUUAUGGUUCCGUCUCUGAACUUUUGUUUCAUAUGUGCAAAUAUAAUGCAGGCCCCAAUUUGAAGGAUAAAUGCAUUGAACUAUAUUGCUAUUCAGUGAUUAAUUAAUUUAUUGCAAAUUGAUAUGAGGUUCUAUAUAUGAGGUUCUAUAUAUAAAAUUCUCUUCAAGUGCUAAAUAUCAUUGUUAUUCUUUUCUUUUUACUUAGUGAAUAUACGAAGUUUGUGUUAGAAGCCCUUGAACUGUUGGAUACCAUAAAGAACUAUGAGAGUCGUGACUCCACAGGAUGGUUUGCUCUUAAAUCUACAUGUUCUUAUCUUUCUUGGUACUGAUACUAAUUUUCUGGUUUGAAGAUACUACAUGUUUUUGUUACAAAUUCUAUAGAGAUUAGUUUUCUCACAAUGAUAACUACAUGAAAUAUUGAUUUAUAACAGAAUUUCUAUGGUGGUGUAUAUUAACGAAGCAACUACAAAGAUUAGCUGCUGUUGUCUUUCAUGGGAAAAACUAUGCUAUAGUGAUCUCUCCAACUGACUUGACACUGCUGCCUCUUACUAUGUCAUGAAAAGAAUUAAAUCCCUUGAUCAUAAAGAUGCCAUUCAAAGGACAGUUAUUGCAUCAAUCCAUCAGCCUAGUGCUGAAGUUUUUCAAUUCUUUGAUAAUCUCUGUUUGUUCUCUGCUGGCAAAACAGUUUACAUUGGACCUGCUUCUACUGCAAUUUAGGUUAAUAUACAACUAAGAACCAACUAACUAACUAGUUCAUAUUUUCAAUGCCCAUCAUUUCUAUAAUACUAUCAUAAGAACAUCAUCUUGUAUGUAGUUUUUCGCUUCCAAUGGUUUUCCUUGUCCUGCUCUUCAAAACCCCUCAGAUCAUAUGCUAAAAAGUAUAAACAAGGACUUCGAUCAGGUAAUAAGCUUUCCAAUGCCUCUUUUCUUUUCUUUAACAAUUCAUUUGUUCUAAAUGAGAUUUCCUCUGUCACUUGCAUCUCUUUGGCUGCUAAAGUUGAAGAAACUCAAGUGCCUCUUCUCUUGGACCUUCAAGUACGUGUUUUUUUUCUCCUUUAUAUCAGAAAACUCAUCAUGACGUUUCUAAUAAUGUGAUUAUUUGAUCAUGAAUCAUCAUCAGGUUGAAGAUGCAAAAUAUGUGUUUGAGUCAAAGACUAUUCAGAGAAUGGAGCUUCUGAUUCUGUCCACCUUGAAUUGGAAGAUGCACCCUGUGACCCCACUCUCAGCGAUUGAAGAAUAGGUGGAUUUGACACAGCACAUGCUGUAGCUAGGUAAUUUUGUUAUCGGUUCUUUUUUUUUCUUUUUGGCUAAUGAAAAAUAUUUCAUGGAUUUGAAUUUUAGUGUGCAAGUUUGAUUUUAUUUUCAGGGCAUAUGGUCGAGCUGCGAUCAAGUUCCGUGGCAUUGAUGCAGAUAUCAAUUUCAACGUCAGCGAUUAUGAUGAAGAUAUAAAGCAAAAAAUAUAUGUAAUUGAUUGACCAAAUCUAUGCACACCUUUGCCAGAAGAUAUCCACAUUGCUUCUUUAUUGUUCCAAAUCUGUUUCUGCUUAUAUGCAAUAAAAUCAAUUUAUUUCAUUGCCUUGGCUUUUAUUUCUUCUCCCAAAGUUGUACGAUCAUAUGCAAAUAAAUCCUCAUAUAUAACAAUUUAAUUAUCUUAUCUAUUCUAUAUUUUUCUAGUAUAUUUUGUGAUUGAAAAUUAUCAACAUUAUGUUCUCAUUUUCUAAAAAUAUUGAAUUCGUAAACUUGUCUUUAAAUUAUAUUAAUUUUAAACUUCAAUUCAAAUUAAUAGCAAACUUCCAAUUAAAACUUUGCAUUAAAAAUAACGACAAAUUUUUUAUCCAAUUGCAAAAAAAACCGUUUUUAAGGAAAAUCUUUUGAUUUGAGUUGUUUGUAAAAUUUUUUAGAAUUGACAUCUUGCUGAAAUAUUGUAAGUUAUUAGUUUUUAAAAAUUAACUAGCUAAUUAUUAGUCACGAUUUUGGGAUGUAAAUUAUUCUCUCAUACAAAAUAGCUUUAGAUUAGUGACAAAAUUAUGACAAAUUACAUUAGCGUGUUUGGUGUAACACCCUCACUAUUAGAGUGUCACGCUUUCGGCUGCGCCACUCUGAUAGCAAGAAGUAUUAUGAUGAAUUCAUAUACUUAAUAAUAAAAUAGGAGCCUUUGACUCGAAACCGUAUCGCUGUUUUUUUUUUUUUGAAAAUCGAAAAAAUACUUUAUCUUGAAAACAAACAAGCAUAUACAUGUGUACAAAAGUUCUUACAUAAAUAGCUUAUGAAUAUAAUAUACAUACAGAACAUGUAACGCCCUAAUAUUCAAAUUCUUAUACUCGAGUCAUAAGUCAAUGAUAAUAAGGUGGUACGACUCUCAAGGGGGAUUUUUUUAUACAUAAUUAUAAGUAAAAUUGAAAGGAAUAUUAAUCGAGAAGCCUGAAAAGAGUAAAAAUAAAAAUCGCGAAGUCGUAUCACUCACGCGUCGACAACUAAAAGAUAAAGCGUGAAGUCGAAAGCGUUAUAAGGAUAAAGUCAUAAAGAAGAAUAAGAGAAGAACAAUAUAUGGAUAUAUGACAUAAGUAAAUAGCCACUAGCCGCGACCCGCGGAGUUUAGGCCGGCUAGGAUACAGUAUAAAAGUAGAUGACAACAAUACCUCCUAAUCUCUCCCAAAUAAAACACGAAAGCCUCUAUAGGCAAGUUUAAAAGAGUUCAAUACAUAAUAUAAGCUUUUCAAAAUAAAGGUGGAGAGAUUCGAAGCAAAAUAUAAAGUAGAGAAUAUAAAGAUCUUCGCCAUAUCUCAGAUGAACCACAGCUCACUUCUAAGGACCUGGACCUGUAUCUGAAAAACAAGAGAUAUAUAUGGAAUGAGAACCCCCAACCCAUGGGUUCCCAGUACGGUAAAAGUGCCAAAUAAAUACAAUGCAUUGUAAUAAAAUCUCACUAAGCAUCCUAGACUUCCUUUCACCAAACAUUCACCCUAUGUCCUCGCUAAUCCAUAAAUAGACAACUGUCAUAGGGAAUGCUAAAGCUAAUUCAUCUUCCUCAUGCUUCUCAACUUCCUAACUCUCCAACGAAUCAGAAUCAGAAUCAUAAACAAAACCAUCACCAGUUAUUUUGUCUCAACAAUUCUAUAUCGUUACUUCAUAUCCUCACCUGGAGCAAGUGAAAUCACUUCACCGCGUCUACCCAGGAAGCUUAAAUUAUCUCAUUUUUUAUCUGGAGCAAGUGAAAUCACUUCACUGCGUCUACCAAGGGAACUCAAAUUAUCUCAUUUUCUACCCGGAGCAAGUGAAAUCACUUCACUACGUCAACCUAGGGAACUCAAAUUAUCUCAUUCAAUAAUCAUCAUUUUAAAUUACUCAUAUCAUCAUUCCAUUCCAACAAGAACAGCCCUCAGCGUCAACCAACACCAGCAUGAAGGACCUCUCAGUUGUACAAUCACAAGCAAUACAGACAAGUAAUAUACAAAUAAGGUACAAGUAAAGCAAGUAGCAUUUAAUCAGGUAGCAUAGUAUAUACGUACAAUUUAGCAAUACAAAAUAGAUAGGCAAACCCAAACAAGUCAAACAUAUGCAAAUGAUGAAUGCCUACCCUAUGGCUGAUGAGUCUCAUCUGUCGGUUAUAAAGCCAACCCGACAAGUCCUGGUAGCUAACCAUUGGACUGUCCCUCUGUCGUGCAUCCCCAACUCAAGUUAUUCACAAUCAUAUUCAUAAUCACACAACACCCACACUGGUGUUUAUCUUCACAGUGUCCGGCCACACUUACGACAUAGGGUCAACAGAAUCUCGGAUCUCAACCUGGAGCAAGUGGAGCCAACCCACUGCAUCUACCCAAUGAAAUCCGAAACUCAGAUAAUUUCACAAAUCUCAAAUCAAUCUCGACUGGGAGCAAGUGGGGGCUAACCACUACAUCUACCGAGGAGUUCAUACCAAACCCGGAGCAAGCGGAAUCACUCCACUGCAUCUACCCAGGCAGGUGUUUAAAAGCUAAACCUGGAGCGAGUGGAAUCACCACUACUACCGCUACUACCCAGGCGUCACCAUCUUUGACCUGGAGCAAGUGGGACGAACCACAACCCUUGCUACUACCCAGGCAUCUCAAACAUACAUUCAUUCAAGACUACAUAAUUAAACUCAUUUUUCAUUAUCCUCCUUCCUCAUCUCGUACCCGGAACAAGUGGACAAUGUCACUGCCUACUACCCGGGGUCACACAUCACAUUCAACAUUUUUCAUCAUUAUUCAUUUACCAUAUUUAAUCAUUAAUCAUAUACAUAUACAUACUCAGCCAUAAUUCAAUUCUUAUCACAGCCAUCCAGCUCAUACUAUACAUAGCACUUCCACCAUCAUCCUCAGCAACUCAUACAAUUAUCAUUACUCAUCAUUCAUAAUUGAUUCUCACUUUACUUCAUCCACAAGUUACCACAUGUCCUAGCUUCUUUUCAUUACUAGGCAUAUUAUAAAAAUUUAGGACUUAAAGGAUGAAAGUGGAGGCUUAGAAGUCUGAAAUUCGGCUUUAAAACUCAAAAAUCAAUUUUUGCCGAAAACAAGGUCACACAUGCGCGUCACCCACGCGCACGCGUGGAAGGCGAAAAAGUAGGGUGACGCAUGAACAUCGCCCAUGCGCAUGCAUGGAAAACAGAGAGGUAGUGUGACACGUGCGCGUCAGUCACGCGUACGCGUGGGUGCGUUUUAUGCUCCUCGCACAAAACCGGCACAGUACCAGCGCAACUCUCUGGAUUUUCUACUAAGGCAUCUACAUCAAUACAGCGACGCGUACGAGUCGGCCAGGCACACGCGUAAGAAAGUAAAAAUCGUGAGUGACGCAUGCGCGUUGGCCAUGCGUGCGCGUCGGAGUACGUUUUCUUAAAAAUUUUACUAAGUCUGAAAAGCUGCAGAAUUUCAUUUUCAGACCUCAAACUUCCGCCACACAUAACUUCUUCUACAAAAUUCCUUUUUCAUCCAUUUUUGAACCGUUGGAAAUAUCGUUGAAUAAACUUUCAUAAAAAUUCAAAUUUGAAGAAUUCCUAACUCCGAGGGCCGAGUUACUGACCGCCGAAGUUGGUCAAAAAUCAGUUUUUACCCAAAAACAGAAAUCACCAAUUUUUCCAAUGUUCACAAGCCAAAUUCAUUUCCACUCAUCCAAAUGACCACAACCCAACCACAUUCAAAUAAUAACACUCAACCAAAACUAAACCUACCUCAUCUACACAAUUCAAUUCCAUUUCGUCUCCUUCCACUUCUAAAUUUUUAAUUUCUUAUUAUUCCACAUUCCUCCCAUUUAUUCACACACUCAAUAUUCAAUAUUCAUUCAAUCUCAUAUGACAUCACACAAUACACAUAUCACCUACCUUCCUUACCUCUUUUUGGCCUCCGACCCAAAUUCACAAUUUAAAUGCAUAUUCCACAAACCAAUAUUCGUUAUCCAAUUCAUUAAAUUCUCAAUACACCAAACAUGCAAAUUCACACAAUUCUCAUCCCAAUCAUUAAUUUUCAUUACAUAACAACUAUAUAUCUUAAUACCAACUUAAUCCUAGGGCAUCUAUCCUAGGAAUUCUCAUCACACCACAUGAUACUUAAAUGAAACUUAAACCAUACUUCUUGUAGCCAAAAUAAUUGAGCCUCUUCUUGGAAGUCUCCACCAACCUUAACUCCAAGCCUCACCAAAGCUCCACAAGCAAUAUCAAUCUUUCAAUUGUGCACCAAAAUCACCCAAUACUCUAACAUAAUCAAUUUUCACACUUAUAAUCAACCUAGGAUUUAUAAAAUUGAUAAAUCACAAGGGUUAAAGGGUUUUUUACCUUAACUCACUGAAUUUUGUGAUGAAUAUCACUAAUGGCUCAUACUAGAGCACCCCUAAACAACAAAAAUCACAAGAUUUCCUCAAAACCCAAACCAAAUUCAAAUUUAAAGGGAAAAAUAAAAACUGGGCAGAGGACAGUGGAAUACUCACCACAAAAUUUAAAAUUGUAGAGGAUAAGAAGAGAGACACGUGACCGAAAACAGCUCGUCAAUCGGAGUUCCGGAGAGAAAGUUAUGGUGAUUUGAAGUUUGGGAAGCUAGAUUUCCUUUCUCUCUUCUCUAUAUGCGCCCCUCCCUCUCAUUUUUAGGGUGAAUGAGGUGAAAUACUCGUAACUAAUAUUUAUAUGUAUUGGGUUUUGGGCCCACUUGGGCCCGGUUCACUUGGUUUAGUCCGUUGGCCUAACUUUGGGCCAAAACCUUUAAGAUUAGAGUUUUAAAUCGUAUUUUAAAUAUUUCUAUCUUUCCAAAUUAUAAAUUCUCAUUUCUUAACCUUAUUCACUUAUAAUUAAUUUCCUCAGCUACAGUACCAGACAUUUCUCAGCCGGUGCUACCGGUCAAAGUUUCAAUGCGCAUUUUUACGCAGAAAACUAUGUUUUUCGACUCAGAAAAAUUCACUGAGUCCAAAUAUCAUAUUUAAAUUAUCAAAUUCCGAUUGCUAAAUUUUCUAACCAUAUUCGUUCCUAUUUAAUUUAUUAUUUAAUUAAUUACGGUUUGACUGGGUUUUACAUUCUACCUCCCUAAUAGAAAUUUUCGUCUUCGAAAAUUCGAUAUCAAAUCUUCACAUAAGCUCUCUCGAUAACUAAUCAGAUGUUACAUUCAUCUCACCUUUCAUAAGACCUUCCCUAAAACCGAAACUUACCACCCUUUACCGUUUCCCUCAAAUUAACCUCAAUACAAUCUCAAUGUUUCAAUUCACUGUCUUCCAACUCCAUCAUCCAAAGUCUAAUAAUUUAUCCAUCAAAAUUUAAGCACGAAUUCAAUUACACCUCUAGUCAUUUAUACCGCUAUUUUAGAAUCAAUCUAACCCAUAGCCACAAUUAAACUUAACUACUUGCGAAUCACUAUUGGCAUCAGCUCACUAAACCUUCCAGGUAUUCAAACCUAAAGUAUUUCUAAUCCCAUUUGCAACUAUUCUAUUUUAAUAUUUCCACAAACUUUUGCUGCGCCACUCUGGUGUCUCAUCUAGUACUAAUCCUAUCAGUUAUUUCCUCAAGUAUUAAACCACAACUUAGCAUGACCGACAUUCAUUAGAUUUCUAUCUAUGAUAGCCAAAAUCAAAUACCAACUUAAGCGUAUUUUUAACACGUUGUUACUGAUCUUUCACUUACCUCUUCCCAAACCGUCGGAUCUACGGUAUCCUCCAUCGUCAUAGUGAACACAUGACCUGGUUGUUGUCCCUUGGCAGUAUUCUGAUUGACCUUCUCAGGGCAGUUCCAAGACAUGUGUCCAACUCCUCCACAACUAUAGCAAAGUCCCAAUUCAGCUCGACACGGAGUUCCCAGAUGAUAGCUUCCACACCGCCUACAAGUCAUCUCAUUUAGAGGUUGCUUUCCAUACCUCCUCCCUUGAUGAUUGUUGUUGUUGUUCCUUCGGGAAUUGUCUUGGGCUUGCUGGGGCUAUGGAUUAUAACCUGCUCUCUUAGAAUCUUGACCCUUUGGAGCAAAGUCCCUCCCUCGGUUCUGUUGAAAAGGUCCCCUAUGACUCUCUCUUUCUGCAGUGGCCUUUUUCACACACUCUUCAGCAACCCUACUCUUAUUCACCAACCCUGAGAAAGUUCUGAUCUCCAUUGGUCCCACUGAACUUAAGAUAUCGCUCCAGAGUCCUCCUUCAUACUUAAUGCACUUCUAUUCCUCGAAGUCUCCCAUAGCUCCUUGACACAUGCGGGAAAACCUAAAUAGCUCCUCAAAUUUGUUUGUAUACACAGAUACGGACAUAACACCCUACUUCAGCUGCAGUAACUCAAGUUCCUUGGCCGUCCUGGCAGAAUUGGGAAAGUACUUUUUAAAAAAUUCCUCCUGGAAGGCAUCACAGGUGAUAGGGUCAUCCCCCUGCUGCAGGAGACGUUGGGUUCCCUACCACCAAUGCGAUGCUUCCCCAGUGAGCAGAUAGGUAGCAAAUUCAACACACUGCUCCUCAGUACCAACUGCGCUUGUAGUGCUGGCUCCAUAGCCUGAAACCAGGUAUCAGCUUCAGUCGGAUUGGUGGUUCCCUUGAACGUAGGUGGAUUAACCUUUAAGAAGGUUGCUAGUGUCAUCGGGCCCUGAAUUCCAUUUCUGCCAUUGCCAUUAUUGUUUAUCUGUUGUCCAAGAGCCUCCGCAGUGGCCUGCAUAGCAGCAGUCAUGUUUUCCAAUGCCGGAAUAAAGUUUACCAGGAUAUUCGAGUUGGUUUCCGGUUCUUGAGUACUAGUAUGAUCUAUCUCACGGCCUCCACCGCGUCCACGAGGCGUCAUCUGGUUCCUAUACACACCAAACAAUCGAUAUCAAGUUGAUCAGUCUCAAUAUCUCAAGUUAAGUGCUUCUAUUUACCAAAGGUACACUCAUGAACUUCAUGCUAGACGUAUCAGUCAGAUAUCCAAACUAGCACAGGCACAAACUCAGAGCAUGCAUUGAAGCAUAAGCAGUUCCAUCCCUCAGGCUCACGAGGACGAACUGCUCUGAUACCAUAAUGUAACACCCUAAUAUUCAAAUCCUUAUGCUCGAGUCAUAAGUCAAUGAUAAUAAGGUGGUACGACUCUCAAAGGGGAUUUUUUUAUACAUAAUUAUAAGUAAAAUUGAAAGGAGUAUUAAUCAAGAAGCCUGAAAAGAGUAAAAAUAAAAAUUGUGAAGUCGUAUCACUCACACAUCGACAACUAAAAGAUAAAGGGUGAAGUCGAAACGUUAUAAGGAUAAAGUCAUAAAGGAGAAUAAGGGAAGGACAGUAUAUGGAUAUAUGACAUAAGUAAAUAGCCACUAGCCGCGACCCGCGAAGUUUAGGCCGGCAAGGAUACAGUAUAAAAGUAGAUGACAACAAUACCUCCUAAUCUCUCCCAAAUAAAACAUGAAAGCCUCUAUAGGCAAGUUCAAAAUAGUUCGAUACAUAAUAUAAGCUUUUCAAAAUAAAGAUGGAGGGAUUCUAAGCAAAAUAUAAAGUAGAGAAUAUAAAGAUCUUCGCCAUCUCUCAGAUAAACCGCAGCUCACUUCUGAGCACCUGGACCUGUAUCUGAAAAACAAGAGAUAUAUACGGAAUGAGAACCCCCGACCCAUGGGUUCCCAGUACGGUAAAAGUGCCAAAUAAAUACAAUGCAUUGUAAUAAAAAUUCAUUAAGCAUCCUAUACUUCCUUUCACCAAACAUUCACCCUAUUUCCUCGCUAAUUCAUAAAUAGACAAAUGUCAUCGGGAAUGAUAAAGCUAAUUCAUCUUCCUCAUGCUUCUCUACUUCCUAACUCUCCAACGAAUUAUAAUUAGAAUCAUAAACAAAACCAUCACCAGUUAUUCUGUCUCAACAAUUCUAUAUCGUUACUUCAUAUCCUCACCUGGAGCAAGUGAAAUCACUUCACUGUGUCUACCCAGGGAGCUCAAAUUAUCUCAUUUUCUACCUGGAGCAAGUGAAAUCACUUCACUGCGUCUACCCAGAGAACUCAAAUUAUCUCAUUUUCUACCUGGAGCAAGUGAAAUCACUUCAUUGCAUCUACCCAGGGAACUCAAAUUAUCUCAUUUAAUAAUUAUCAUUUUAAAUUACUCAUAUCAUCAUUCCAUUUCAACAAGAAUAGCACUCAGCGUCAACUGACACCAGCAUGAGGGACCUCUCAGUUGUACAAUCGCAAGCAAUACAGACAAGUAAUACACAAAUAAGGUACAAGUAAAGCAAGUAGCAUUUAAUCGGUAGCAUAGUAUAUACAUACAAUUUAGCAAUCCAAAACAGAUAGGCAAACCUAAACAAGUCAAAAUAUGCAAAUGAAGAAUGCCUGCCCUAUGGCUGAUGAAUCUCAUCUGUCGGUUAUAAAGCCAACCCGACAAGUCCUGGUAGCUACCCAUUGGACUGUCCCUCUGUCGUGCCUCCCCAACUCAAGUUAUUCACAAUCAUAUUCAUAAUCACAUAACACCGACACUGGUGUUUAUCCACGGGGGCGAGCUCAUCCGAAACUUUCACAGUGUCUGGCCACAUUUACAAUAUAGGGUCAACAGAAUCUUGGAUCUCAACCUGGUGCAAGUGGAGCCGACCCACUGCAUCUAUCCAAGGAAAUCUGAAACUCAGACAAAUUCACAAAUCUCAAAUCAGUCUUGACUGGGAGCAAGUGGGGGCUAAACACUGCAUUUACCCCAUGAGUUCAAACCAAACCUGGAGCAAGCGGAAUCUCUCCACUACAUCUACCCAGGCGUAUAUAUCUCACUAUGUCCCGGAGCAAGCGGAAUCACUCCACUGUAUCUACCCAGGCAGGUAUUUAAAAGCUCAACCUGAAGCGAGUAAAAUCACCACUACUGCUGCUACUACCCAGACAUCACCAUCUCUGACCUGGAAUAAGUGGGACGGACCACAACCCUUGCUACUAGCCAUGCAUCUCAAACAUACAUUCAUUCCAGACUCCAUAAUUAAACUCAUUUUUCAUAAUCCUCCUUCCUCAUCUCAAACAUACAGGGUCACGUGUGCGCGUCGCCCACGCGCACGCGUAAAAGCCGAAAAACUAGGUUGACGCGUGAGCGUCGCCCAUGCGCACGCAUGGAAAACAGAGAGGUAGUAUGACGCAUGCGCGUCAGUCACGCGUACGCAUGGGUGCGUUUUGUGCUCCUCGCACAAAACCGGCACAGUACCAACGCAACUCUCUGGAUUUUCUACUGGGGCAUCUGCAUCAAUACAGUGACGCGUACGCGUCAGCCAAGCGCACGCGUGAGAAAGUAAAAAUCGUGAGUGACGCGUGCGCGUCGGCCAUGGGUGCGCGUCGGAGUACGUUUUCUUAAAAAUUUUACGAAGUCUGAAAAGCUGCAGAAUUUCAUUUUCAAACCUCAAACUUCCGCCACACAUAACUUCUUCUACAAAAUUCCUUUUUUAUCCAUUUCUGAACCGUUGAAAAUAUCGUUGAAUAAAUUUUCAUAAAAAUUUGGUUUUGAAGAAUUCCUAACUCUGAGGACUGAGUUACGAACCGACGAAGUUGGUCAAAAAUUAGUUUUUAACCAAAAAUAGGAAUUAUCAAUUUUUCAAUGUUCACAAGCCAAAUUCAUUUUCACUCAUCCAAAUGAUCACAACCCAACCAUAUUCACAUAAUUACAUUCAACCAAAAUCAAACCUACCUCAUCUACACAAUUCAAUUCCAUUUCCUCACCUUCCACUACUAAAUUCUUAAUUUCUUAUUAUUCCACAUUUCUCCCUUUUAUUCACACACUCAAUAUUCAAUAUUCAUUCAAUCUCAUAUGAUAUCACACAAUACACACAUCACUUACCUUUCUUACAUCUUUCCGGCCUCCGGCCCAAAUUCACAAUUUAAAUACAUAUUCCACAAACCAAUAUUCAUUAUCCAAUUCAUCAAAUUCUCAAUACACCAAACAUGCAAAUUCACACAAUUCUCAUCCCAAUCAUUAAUUUACAUUACAUAUCAACUAUACAUAUUAAUACCAACCGUUUACACAAUCCAAACUUAAUCUUACGGGCAUCUAGCCUAGGAAUUCUCAUCACACCACACGGUACAUAAAUGAAACUUAAACCGUACCUCUUGUAGCCAAAAUAAUUGAGCAUCUUCUUAGAAGUCUCUACCAACCUUAGCUCCAAGCCUCACCAAAGCUCCACAAGCAAUAUCAAUCUUCUAAUUUUGCACCAAAAUCACCCAAUACUCUAACAUAAUCAAUUUUCACACUUAUAAUCAACCUAGGGUUCAUGAAAUUGAUAAAUCACAAGGGUUAGAGGGUUUCUUACCUUAACCCACUGAAUUUUGUGAUGAAUAUCACCAAUGGCUCAUACUAGAGCACCCCUUAACAACCAAAAUCACAAGAUUUUCUCAAAACCCAAACUAAAUUCGAACUUAAAGGGAGAAAUGAAAACUGUGCAGAGGACAGUGGAAUACUCACCAUAAAACCUAGAUAGAAUUGUAGAGGAUGAGAAGAGCAAUGCGUGGCCACAAACCGGCUCGUCAAUCAGAGUUUCGGAGAGAAAGUUAUGGUGGUUUGAAGUUUGGGAAGCUAGGUUUCCUUUCUCUCUUCUCUCUAUCCGCCCCUCCCUCUCAUUUUUAGGGUAAAUGAGAUGAAAUGCUCAUAACUAAUGUUUAUAUAUGUUGGGUCUUGGACCUACUUGGACCCGGUUCACUUGGUUUAGUCCAUUGGCCCAACUUUGGGCCAAAACUUUUAAGAUUAGAGUUUUAAAUCAUAUUUUAAAUAUUUCUAUCUUCCCAAAUUAUAAAUUCUCAUUUCUUAACCUUAUUCACUUAUAACUAAUUUCCUCAGCUGUAGUACCAGACAGAUCUCAGCCGGUGCUAUCGGUCAAAUUUUCAGUGCGCAUUUUUAUGCAGAAAACUAUGUUUUCUGACUCAGAAAAAUUCAUUAAGUCCAAAUAUCAUAUUUAAAUUAUCAAAUUCCGAUUGCUAAAUUUUCUAACCAUAUUUGCUCCUAUUUAAUUUAUUAUUUAAUUAAUUAUGAUUUGACCGGGUUUUACAGAACAUACAAUUCCGAUCCCUCUUUUAAAAUACAAUAUUGAUGACGAGAAAAAAAAUAAAUAACAAUUAAACUGGUAUAACAACAAAAUCAUUUAAGCAAAAUUGAGAUUAAACUCUUCGUAAGCCUCUUCGUUCAUCUCCUGAAAAGAUAAAGCUGUAGGGGUGAGAACCUAACUACACGGUCUCACCACGAAGUUUCAGAAUUGUCAUAAGAAGAUAUUUAAUAAGAAAAUCAUUUUCAAACUCAGUGAUUAUCGUUGUCUUAUGAAUCCUUUGAAAACCGAUGGUUUAACCAUGAAAAAUUCAAAACAUUUUUAAAAGAAAUCAGUUAUUUAACUAGAAAUCUAAACUCCCUUUUUCAGACAAAAGAAUCUUAAAAGUUUUCUAAUAGUAUGAAUGACCAACCUGUUCCAAACAUAGGUUCAUUAAGUCUAUGCUGAACUAGUUUGAUAUUUCAUACUUUACUAAACCACAACACAAACCAAUCACGGCCUCCGGCCCAUCACAUAAUCAAUCACGGCUUCAAGCCCAAAUAGCUCAAUCAACAUCCAAUUCACCACAACCCAACCAAUUUCAAUCACAAACACAAGUAAUGAGGUUCAAACACAAUCAAGUGCAGUUACGUUAAGUAUAACAAUUGGCAAUUAAACAGAAUUAUUCACAUAGGCAAACCAAUUACAAUAUGCACACCCAAAUAAUGUCACAUAAAUGCAUAUGAUGAAUGUCUCCCCCAUGGCUAAUGAGCUCAUCUGUCGAUUAUACAGCCAACCUGAUAUGUCCUGCUAGCUAACCAUUGGACAGUCCCUCUGUACACGCAUCCCGAAACUCAAUAAAAUCCAUGGGAAAAAUCCCAAGUUCAUCCAUGGGGAGAGACAAAGCCCCAAUUUCAAAUUCAUAUAUAUAUGCAUGCCCAUGGGGAAUCCGAGAAGUUAAAGUGCCCAGUCACAUCUUACGUAUAGAGGGUCAACAAUUUGUCUCAAUUUUGCAAGUCCCACAUACUUUUAAUUCAUUAUCAUCAUCAAUUCAUAUCUCAUCUCCAAAUCCAUUCAAAGAUCAUACUUUAAAAAAAAUCCUCAUCAUCUUUCAUUCAAAUGCAAUCAUCAUCAUCCAUCCCCCUAUUCGUUCAUCAAUAAUCCCAAUUCAAAAUCUAAUUCAUUCUUUUCUAAAUAAAUCAAACUUAAAACAUAUAAUCUUUCAAACCAAAGCUUUUUAAAUGAUUACUUCAAACGAAGCUUCCAAUUUUAUAUAAAAUUUCGGCAGCAUCUCCUCUAAAACUCGGACUUUGCCACCCCUUUCAGGUCCCAUCCAAACAUUCCUCAAACCCUUCUCAACCAUUUCCAAAUCUCAAUUAUUUUUUUAAAUUCAACCAGUUCUAAUAUCAAAUUAUUUUCAAAUCGAACCAAUUCCAAUAAUAAAUUUUUCAAAAUCAAACCAGCUCCAAUAUUAAAUCAUUUAUAAAAUCAAACUAAUUCAAAACCAAACCGCUUCCAAAAUCAAUUCAUUUUCAUAUCUCAAAUUAUUUUCAAAGCCGAUUCAUUUACAUUAUCAAAUUAACUCCAUAACCAAGAAAAACCCUUUUCAUAAUAAUCAACUAAAUAACCUUACAAACCAAUUUCUUAUCAACAACCGCACACCACUCAAGCAAUCAGUAAUUAAGUCCAACAAACAACUACAUCUAUAAGACAAUCAUAAUCACUGAAAUAUAUUUUUCACAUCAAUAUCUAUUUAUAACAACUCUAUAAUAUAAAAUCAAUUUUAAGAAAAACCCCUACCUCAACUCGUCGAAACUCACAAAACCAAAUGCGUCAAAACCCCCUUUUUCCUUGCGGCCCGCAACAACCAAAGCUUCAAUCGCGACUCAAAAUAAUCAAAAUUCAAACCUACCAACACCUCAAAACCUUUAACAAACCAUAAAAGAAUAUUUAUACGCUAGCGACGAGGAUUUCAGAACAAAGAUACCUACUAUAACGGCAGAACAAGGCAACAACAAUUCUGAACCGACCAAGCAGCACCUCCGACAACAACCUCAAGCGAUAGCGACGACCAGAAGCUCCGGUGAUGGUGAAUGUAACAACCACGCAAUGACAACGAUGCUAUAGGAAUUUAAAAUAACAGAAAUUAGAACCAAAGACACCCAUUCCGAUAGUGGAUCUCGGCGACAAUAGUCCCGGAGGCAUACCUGGCGGUGGCAUCUGGUGAUGGCGGCGCGAUGGUGAAGGCUUCUCCUUCCUCGCGCAUUUCUCAGCCGCGAACCUUCUCUCUCUAGCGUGGUUGGCUUGGCGGCGGUUGAACGGGAUGGAUGGCGGCAGGUCGUGGCGGCGGCGGCGGCACUAGACAUGGUCUCCCUCUCCCUUCCAACACAGAUCCCUUCGCGCGUGGCACUAACGGCAGUGGCAGUGGCUUCUCCCUCUCAGCUCACCCUUCUUUCUCUUCUCCCUGUCCAUUUCUAUUUCUCUCUUCUCCUUCACUGGUUCUCCCUCUUUUUGCCUUUUGAUUUCUCUGAUUUCCUUCGCCGUUCUUCCUUUCUAACUUCCCCUUUCUCAGAUUUUCCCUUUCUGAAUAUAGGUUUAGGGAUUUAGGGCAACAAAUUAGGGAUUUAGGGAUCUUGUGACAUUAGGGUUAAAUUAGGUUGUGAUUUAGGAAUUUAGAGCUAGAGUAAAAUAUAUAUACGAGUAAUAUAAUAAUCUUACACGAUAUUUGAGAUAAAAUAAUAAUUUAAAAUUCAAAUUUAAUACUGUAAAGAUUACUUUCAAAAGGCAUAUAAUUUUAUUCAUUAAUAUAUUGAUAAAAUAUUUGAGAAAGAAUAAUAAUUUAAGAUUCAAAUAUAAUACCAUAAAAAUUACUUCAUAAAAAUUACUUUCAAAACGCAUAAGAUUUUAUUUAUCAGCAUAUCAAUGAGCUCAAACAAUUAUUUUUAAUUUAAAUUAUAAAAUAAGCAUACUAAUCACAUUCUAUAAAAUACAGUUAAACUCGAAAUAUCAAUUACCUAUAUUAAAUUAUAUGACCUUUUAUUAUUUUUCUAUCAUAACUUUAAUUUCAAUUUAUAUAUAAAAUAACUAGUUAUAAUCAAAAUUGUGAGUAAAUACUAAUUGACUUAAAAUUAAAGUAUUUAUCAAAAUCAAUUUAAUCAUUUCUAAUAAAUUAAUCUUUAAGGGCUCAAAUUAAUAGAAUAAAUCAUAUUUAUUCAUAAUAGAAAUUUCUAUACUUUUCAAAUAUAAAAUAAUCAAUUAUAAAAAUUACACAAGAAUAUUAAUUAACUUAAUUUCAAAAUUCAUAAAACUAAUUUAAUUACUCUUAAUAUAUUAAUUAUGAAAUAAAGAGUUUAAAUUAAUAAUAACUCAUAACUUAUUCAUAUUAUAAAUUACUUAAAUUAAAUUGUACAAUUCUUUCUUAUUUUUCAGUUACUGAAAUUAUGUAAAAUAUUUAAUUAUAAUAAAAUUACAUAAGAAUCUUAAUUAAUUUAAAAUAAAAUUAUCUCCAAUUUUAUUUAAUUAUUUCUAAUAGAAUAAUUUCUAAAACUAUAAAGUUUAAACUUAAUAAGAUAAAAUCGCAAUUUAUUUAUAUUUAGAUUUUCGAAAAAUGCGGGAUGUUACACUUGGCGAAUUUCCUUCAAACUUUUCGUGAAUUUUCUAUGGAUCUAUAUAGAGGUUAGCGGUUAGUAGCAACAUGAAAUAAGGACAGAAUAAGGACUAACAUUUUUUCUCACAAACUAGUAGCAGCAUGAAAUAAGCGAGGAAAGUCUAUUAACUGUUAAGCGGUCCUUAAUUCCUCACUAAAUAAUCUUUUCAUUGUGACCAUUUGCUUCCAAAAUUUUCUCGGUUAGCUUUGGAUUUGUUAUAAUUCUACGAUGGAUUUCCAACGAGAUUAGCGAGUAAUUUGUUACAAAAUAGUUAGGAUAUAACUUUUUCUUUGUCACAAGAUUACAUUUGCCAAGUCGCUUGCUAAAUUAAAAUUGCGACAACUUAGCGACAAAUGUAUUUCGCCUGCUAAUUAGUGACUUGAAAUUAGCGAAAAAAGUGUGUCAAUUGUUAAAGGAUCACAAAUUUUUCGCUACUGAGAUCCUAGCGCUCAAUAUCCAUAUUUUCACUUUAGUGACUAAUUAGCAAGGAACACUUUCCUAGGUGAAUGAUUUAUCCGUUGCGACGAGUUAGCGACUACUAUUUUCCAUCGCUAACCUAAUUUAAAUUUUACAAUAUUAUGCGACAAAUUGGCGAGAAACUAGUUGCUCGCUAAAAAUAAAAAUUUUGGUGACAAAUUAGCUAGAAAAUUGUCCAUCACAAAAUGCGUUUAAGUCUUUGUGACAUAUUACUUGGGAACAUUGUUCCUCACUAAUUAGCAUUUCAACGCAAAGUUUACUUAGCAACGAAUUAGUGUGUGAAUUGUUUCUCGCUAAUUGUAUAUCAAACACUUCCGACGGAAUAGUGACAACAAUAUCCCUCACUACUUUCUUUUAUUCGAUUGAACCCCUAAGUGAUUGAUUUGCUAGAACAUUGUCACUCGCUAAAUAAUUUGUGACAAAUUAGCAAAAAAAAUUUGCUCUUUUUUUAGCUACAAAACUCAAUUUGCGAGAAACAAACUUGCUCGUGAAUCUCUCGCUAAUCGGCCGCUAUUCUCAAGUUCGGAUAUUUUGUGACCGUUCAUUAAUUUUGUCGUUAGUGCGUCACUAAUUCAUCGCUAGUUAGUGAUGGAUUAGUGAUAAAAAAUAUUUCUCACAAAAUUUUGUUGCAAAUUUAUCAUAUUCUUGUAGUGUUUUUACCUUUUUUAAGAGUUUAUGAUGGUAGUGAGUUUUCAUAUAAACCUCUACAUCUAUAGCAAUUUAUAUAUAAAUUUUGAAAUCUCUAUAUCCUGUAGAAAUUUAUAUAAAAUGAAUACAGAAUCAAAAUAUAACCAUUAAAAAAAAUUAUAAUUGAAUAAAACUGAUUCAUCUUUUAUUCAUUUAGUAAUUUACCCUAACAAAUAUAGUUACCUCUUUCUUUAGCGUUUUAUGUAAACUCUGCUAAAAUCGAUAAAUAAUUAGUCGAUAAAUCGAAUUUUAAUUAAGAAAAUUAAAAAUACAAAACUAAUGUCAAAAUAGAAUAGAGCUCUUCAAAAGAUGAAUUUUGAUACCAAUUUCAAAAAAUUUGGCCUAAAAUUAGACCAAAAAAACCGAACCGGUUGAACCGGGAUCCAAACCGGGCCCGUGGGUCCAACCAGACCCAUAACUUAAAAGAAGCAACAGCUCCUUCUACCACCAUUUCACCCACAGUGACACCAAACAGAUUGGGGAGGAAGAAUAACUCCCUAACCCUCAUCAAACACUCUAACGCCCAUAACUACCCCGUUUGAGCUCCGAUCGCCGCACCGUUUGCGGCCACGCGUCCAGCGCGUCGAGCUCUACAUUUCUAUCGGAUUAAUUUCACCGGUAAGCUCCAUUUUUGUUCCAGAAUCUCUAUUUCCUUUCUAUUCUUGAAUUUGAAAUCCUAUGGUAAAAUUUUGCCCAAUUUGGUGUUUUAGGUUCAAUUUAGCUUGCGGGGGUUGUUGGGUUCGAGUUGCUACGUGUAUGGCUGAGGUAAGAAUGCCCUAAAUCUUAAUUAAAUUUUAACUUCAUUAGGUAAAAUCUGAAUUUGGAAUAUAUAUGCGUAUUAGGUGUGAAUUAAGUUCAUAUACAUGCUUUGGAAUUGAAAAGUGAACAUUUGGAGGCUUGGUGGUGAUUGAGGCUAAGUUUGUGGCUGGUUACUCUAAGCUUGAGGGGCUGUUUUAAAGCUUGUGAGGCUGCCUUGGAUUAAAUAAAGCGAUCGGCCAAGGUAUGGUUUAGGUUUUGCGCGUUUAAUAUUUAAGGUGUAUUGAAAACUUAGGCUACAGAACCAUAGGUUAAGUUGAAUUGGUUAAAUGUAUUAAAUGAUUAGCUUUGUGGAGAUGUUGGAUAAAGUUAUGGUUGAACUUGUAUUGGAGUUUAUGAUCACGAGUUGUUGCAGUUAUUGAAUAUGUGUUCUUGAAAUUGAGCUAGUGUUGGAAGUUAUGAGCAUGAAUUGUUGGUAUUGAAUAUGUGUUCUUGAAAUCAUUAAUGAAGGGUUGAUGAAGAUGUUGAUAUAUGUUAAUGGAAUUUAAUUGAUAUAUGUUAAUGAAGGGUUGCUCAUAUAUGUGAUAUAUGUUGAUAUAUAUUGGUGGUUAAGGCUUGUUGAAUUAGUUAAAGGUAAAUUUGGGAGUGGUUGUUAAUGAAAUGGGCUUGAUAUGUUAAUAAUAUGCAGGUUUUAUGGGUAGGGAAUGUGAAUUUGGCGAAAAUGAGGUUUGGGUAUUAUUUGGUAAAAAGUAAAUUUUGGUGAACUUUGGAAGUCCAUAACUUGCUCCUCGAAUUUUGGAUGGAAUUGUGGUUUGUUUCAAAUGAAAGAUGGUUUUAUAAGCUUUUGAAUGAUAUCAAUUUUGUGAAAAACAGAAUUUUGUAGAGAAAGUUAUGGACGACGGAAGUUUGGUGUAUAAAACUAUGUUAUACAGGUGCUAAAAACUGGUUGUAGCAGCUUUCUGGGCAUUCUGCCAAUUUUUGGAAAACGUCAAUCCAUGCGUACGCGUGGCAUGGUAUUUUAACGACACAUGCGCGAGUAGCAUGCGUACGCGUGAGAAGCUAAUGCGCAUGAUCACGCGUACGCAAGACUCACACGUACGCGUGACGUGCUGUUCGCUCCACACGUGCGCGUGGCCCACGCACACGCGUGACUAUUGUUUGCUGCAAAAACUAGAUUUUUGGAAUUUUAAAUCAGAUUUUCACUUCUAAUCCUCCAUUUUCCUUCCUUUUAGACUUAGGGUACAGUGCUAAAUCCAGUAGCUAGUUGAAGCUAGAAAAACAAGAUAACUUGGGGAUGAAGUAAGAGGUAAAAUGAUGAAUUAUAUGAAGGAAAUGAGAAAGUUAAAUGAAGUUUAAUGCCAUGGCUUGAUAAAUGAUUAUAUAUUGAUUAUGAAAAUGAAAUGGCUUAUGAAUGAUGAUAUCUGAGAUACGAGUUUCCCUGGGUAAGAAUCGUGGCUUGCCACCACGUGUUCCAGGUUGAAUCUCGAUACUCUGUUGACCCUACAUCGUAAGGGUGACCGGGCACGUAUGAAUUUUUGGGUUUGGAUAGCCCCCAUUGAGUGAUUACAUGAUGAAUGAAUGUGAAAUCUAUGCAUAGACUCUUGCGGAUGCGCGACGGGGGACAAUCUAAGGUUUUCGGACUUGUCGGGUUGGAUGGAUAACCGACAGAUGAGCCUCAUCAUCCAUAGGACAGGCAUGCAUCAUGUGCAUUUUCUGAUUUUACCUAACUAAAUAUAUACAUCCUGCUACCUGUUAUACUUGUUACUUGCACUAUUUGCUUAUAACUUGUGUGUGAACUUGUUUGGUUGCUUGUCUCUGUUGAAUUAAGGAUGACGGAGGGACGAAGGAAGGGUGAAUUGGUUUGGAGUUAUGUUAGGUUUAAAAAGUGAGUAAGUGGUACGAGAUUCGUUGUCGGUCUAGAAUUUCUCUUGUAGAAAUAAGAACUUCGUUGUAAGCAUAGCUCCAAACCAACAAACAACUCUCACAUCAAAUUAAAUUUUGGUUUUGUCACAAGUACAAACCCUAAUAAAGAAUUAACCAAAGUAUUUAAACCUCGGGUCGUCUCACAAGGAAUUGCAAUGAAGUGGGAAAUUAUUCGCUAUGAAGGAACAAAGGGGGUUUGAUUGAUAAAAGUGGCAAUAAAAUAAAUGGCAAGAAAAGUAAAUCAAGCAAGUAUUUAAAGAAGACAAGUAAUGAAGAGAGAUAUUCAUGGCAAGGGUUGAGAAUAUAGGCUUUCUAUCCUAGUCAUUAAUCACAAUAAUACUUAACAAAAAUUUAUCUUAUUUCAUCAUCCCCAAUGUUGGAAGAAGGUGUGAGUUAUCUUCCAUUAGAGAAAGUCAAACAAGACUAGUUAAUCUCAAGUCAAAAAUCCUAAUCAACUCACUAAUUGAAUUAGCAAGAGAUUAGAGUCAUUGAAAAUGAUAUUAACUAACAACUCUAGAUCACCAAUCUAAAUUGGGUAUUAAUGACUCAAGAUUGCCCAAUUACUCUUCCCAAAUCAAGAAUGCUCAAAAUCUACUCUAAAGUCCAACCAAACAUUUUGUCAAACACUUGGAAGGCAUAAAAGGAAAGCAUAGUAAAAAUUCAAGAAUAAUAAAUCUACCAACUACCAAUUGCAAGGAAAGUAAAUCAACAACUCAAAUCAUUAAUAAAAGAACAUCAAACAUUAAAUUUCAUUAAAUGUAAACAAAAUCCAACAUGAGCAUUCAUAAAUAUAAAAGAGGCAUAAAAGUAAAAUUGACAAGAGAAAUAAGAAGAAUAGAGUAGUAGAAACAAGAAAUUGUAAAGAAAACAAGAUGAAUUCAGGAAAUCAUGCCUAGAUCUGAGAUGGAAAUAGCCUAAGAACCCUAAUUCUAGAGAGAAGAGGGAGCUUCUCUCUCUAGAAACUAACCUACAUGAUGCUAAGCUACAAACAAUUGCUCCCCCCUUGUCCAAGCUUGAAUUAUACAUGAAAUAGCAUCAGAAAUGAGUUGGAUUGGGCCCAAAAUGAGCUAGAAAUCAUUGGCCACGAGUUGCUCUUUAAUGAACCACGUGCAACAUCGGCGCGUACACGUACAGUGCAUGUACGCAUCAUUAAACGCGAAGCAAUUAUGGCAAAUUUUAUAUCAUUUUGAAGCCUCGGAUAUUAGCUUUCCAACGCAACUGAAACCGCCUCAUUUGGAUCUCUGUAGCUCAAGUUAUAGUCGAUUGAGUGCGAAGAGGUCAGGCUUGAUAGCUUUGCGAUUCCUUCAUUUCUUCAUGAGUUCUCCCACUUUGCAUGCUUUUUUCCUCACUUCUUCCAUCCAAUACUUGUCUUAUGAACCUGAAAUCACUCAACAAACAUAUCAAGGCAUCGAAUGGAAUUAAAGUGAAUUGAAUUUAGCUAUUUUAAGGCCUAAAAAGCAUGUUUUCACACUUAAGCACAAAUUCAGGGAGAAUUGCAAAACUAUGCUAUUUCAUUGAAUAAAUGUGGGAAAAGUUGAUAAAAUCCCCUAAAUUAGCAAAAGAUAAAUCACAAAAUUGGGAUUUAUCAAACCUCCCCACACUUAAACUAAGCAUGUCCUCAUGCUAAAAUCAAGAAAGAAGCAAAGGGUAUCAACAUUUAUUCAAUGAAAAUUAACUACGUGCAACUUAUCUAUAUGUAACCUAUCUAAAUGAGUGCAAUGGCUUGGUUAAAACAAAUCUAUUUCCAAGAAUACAUGUACAAGUACAAGGGCCAAAGCAAUAGCAAUUAAAGCAAAUCCACAAUUGAAUUGAAUCAUUGAAAGAUUUUACAAACUUGCAAGAAAAGAUGAUCAUGGGUGGAAACAUAUAAUUGAACGAUCGAACCCUCACCGGAUGUGUAUCCACUCUAGGCACUCAAGUGUAUAGGGUUGAUUCACUCAAUUCUCUCCUAAUCAUGCUUUUCAAGAUUUGUUUUUCAUCUAACAAUCAACAAUUAUUUCAUGCAUGCAUACAAAUAUCAUGAGGACUUUUCCAUAGGUUGUAAUGGGGCUAGGGUCAAGGUAGGAUGCAUAUGGUCAAGUGCGCUUGAAAUUCGAAUCUUUGAUUAACUUAAACUUCCCACCUAACCUAUGACAACCUAUACAAUUCUAAACAAACCUAACUACCCAUUCUUCACUUUUCCACACACUCAUAUAUUUUCUUUUGAUCACCACACAUAUGCAUUGAUUUUUAUUGAACUUUAAACUUUGGGGUAUUUUUGUCCCCUUUUUAUUGCAAUUCUUUUUUUUCUUUCUUUUUCUAUUUUUUUUCUUUAUAUAUAUAUAUAUAUUCUUUUUUUUUCUCUAUCAUUUUUUUUAAAGUAUAUACAAACGUAUCAAUGCAUAUGGUUUUACAUAUUUAAUGCAUAAGCAUGUACCCAACUCCCAAAAAUAUUCAACAAAAUACAAAAACACACAUUUUUUUUCUUAACCAAUGUCCCAAGUUUUCCAUACCCAAUUGAUACACACCCUCACUAGCCUAAGCUAAUCAAAGAUCCAAAUUAAGGGAUAUUUAUUGUUUUUCACUUAGGGGUAGUGAUGUGCUAAAAUUAAGAAAUGAAAGGGGAUUAAAAUAGGCUCAAAGUUGGCUAACAAUGGCGGAUAAAAGGUAGGCUAUUUGGGUAAGUAAGCUACAUGAAAAGAUGGCCUCAAUCAUGUAAAUGCAUAUAUACAUCAAACAAUGGACAUAAAGAAUCAAACAAAUCAAGGAUUGCAAUCAUUAAAAGAGAAUAAGACACACAAGAAUGAAAAUAGUGGUUAUAUGAUGUAACCAUUUAAAGUGAAUAAAAAUCACCAAUUUAAGGGCCUAAAAAGCAUGUUUUUACACUUAAGCACAAUUCAAGGGAGAAUUACAAAACUAUGCUAUUUCAUUGAAUAAAUGUGGGAAAAGGUGGUAAAAUCUCCUAAAAUAAGCACAAGAUAAAUCACGAAAUUGGGGUUUAUCAAAUCUCCCCACACUUAAACUAAGCAUGUCCUCAUGCUAAAAUCAAGAAAGAAGCAAAGGGUAUCAACAUUUAUUCAAUUCAAACUAACUAAAUGCAAUCUAUCUAUAUGCAAUCUAUUUACAUGAUGCAAUGGCUUAGUCAAAAUAAAUCAAUCUUCAAGAACAUACAUGCAAGCACAAGGGCUAAGGUAUUAGCAAUCAAAGCAAACCACAAUUGGAUUGAAUCAUUGAAAGAGUUUACAAACUUGCAAGAAAAGAUGAUCAUGGGUGAAAACAUGUAAUUGAGCGAUCCAUUCUUCACUUUUUCACACACCCAUGCAUUUCUUUUUAGAUUUUCACACAUAUGCAUUGAAUUUAUGAAACUUUAAACUUUGGGACAUUUUGUUCCCUUUUUGUUGCAAUUUUUUUUUCAAAUUAAAAUAUAUACAAGAACAUCAAUGCAUAUGGUUUACACAUGAUUAAUACAUGAGUAUGUACCCAAUUUCCAAGAUUCUCAACACAAAUAUAAAAAUACACUUUUAUCUCUACCCAAUGUUCCCAACUUUCCCGAAAUCAAGUGAUAAACACUCUCACUAGCCUAAGCUAAUCAAAGAUCCAAACAAGGGACAUUUAUUAUUUUUCACUUAGGCUUGUAAUGUGCUAACAUUAAGAACAAAUGGGUUAAGCAUAAGCUCAAAUUGGCUAACAAUAGAAGAUAAAAGGAUAGGCUAUUUGGGUAAGUAAGCUAUUUGAACAAUUGCCUCAAUCAUGUAAAUGCAUGUAUACACAAGAUAAUGGACAUAAAGAAUCAAACAAAUCGAAGAUUACAAUCAUAGGACUAGAAUAAUGCACACAAGAAUGAAAAUAAGUGGUUAUAUGAUGUAACCACACAAUUAAGGCUCAAAACUCUCAUGCUUGUAUUCUUAGCUCAAAACAUGAUCCACAAAAUAUAUAAUUCAAGCAAGUUCUAAAAAAAUUUUUUUUUCGAUCAAUUGGAGUGCCCUAUAGAUAAAAUCCUUGGAAAAUAUCAUGAUUUUGACUAAGCUUAAUAUAUACAUAUGCAAAAUAAGAAAAUGCAACUAAAAAUCCUAAAAUGAAACGCGAAAGUGUUGGGAUUAGAAACUUGUCACCCAAAAAUGCCGAUCGGUCGGACGACCUCCCCACACUUAAAUGUUUGCACUGUCCUCAGUGCACUAUAUGAGCAAAGGGGUACGGUGACUUGCCGAGUUGCCACCUUCAUCUGGUAGGUCAACCGGUUGCUGCGUGUUCUUCCUCCUGCUUCUAUUUUUGCUUAUGGUGCAUCGAUAAUGAAAAACAAAAUAAACACCGUAAGAUGAAAAAAUACAAAAGCAAGGAAGCAUGAAUUGUUGGAAUGAGGUAAGAACCACUAGAAUGGAGUGAGUGAAUUAGUGUGACAAUGAUGAAAAAUAAGUGUGUGGGUUCUAAAAUUGCGCGCGGUUUAGAAUACACACACUAGUACAAAAAGUUAUGUCACAAUUACACAAAAGAAAACAUGCACUUCACUCAUUCUAGUGUGCUUGAGAUACUUUAAAAGACUUUUAGGUUAAGGCAACCACACAAGUAGUGAAGAAGCAUAAAAGCAUUUAAGCAAAAAUCAAGCAAUUCUGAAAUUGGAUAAUGAAUGACCAUUGAUUGAUGUGUAAGUAAACUUGAUGAACAAAAUGGUAUAGAGAGCUCACACAUCAAACAACGACAUAUAUUGAAGUUGUUGCAACACUUAAGUGACAUGGAAGUGGAACACAUGGAUGUUGUGGAACUUAGGGAAAAGAAUAUGGAAGUGAAAAUCAAUCACACAGCAAGCAUAGUCCACAAAGCUUGGAAAGCUCAAAAAUAUGUCAUUAGGUAAGCUUUCGAUCUAAUUCCUCAACCACAGAAUCUCAAUGUAUAAAAUAAGUGAUGUGAAUAAGGGUAAAUCAUAAACAAGCAUCACCUAAAAAAAUACAAUGAUAAUAUACAAUUGCCUAACAAUGGAUGAUGAAUGCUUGGUGGCCAAAACAUGCAAUUCAAAAGAGUUAAGAAGCUUAAAGGCAAUGUAACAUGUACUUGGUAUUCAAAAGUGUUAAACAUGAAAAUUCCAAACAAAGUAACCAAAUACAACCUCAACAAAGAAAUCCAACAAGUACAAUUAACAAUAAUGAUGUUAAACUAACAUCCUAUUAGUAAUAAGCAGCAGUAAACAGUAAACAAGAUUAGUAAUUCAACACUUAUAAUGGAAAACAAAAAUUAACAACAACUAAACUAACUAACUAAAUAAAAAGAUAUGGUUUUAUAUGGUGUUUGGUAGUGUUGGAUGAUGUUUGAAGGGUGGAAAGAAAAGAAGAGAAAAGAGAAGAAGGAAAGGAAUAGAAAGAAGAGAAGAAAGGAAGAUGAUUGAUGCAGGGCAGGCCACGCGUGUGCGUCAUUGACGUGUGCGCGUGGAAAUGGCAAAAUGCGAGCGACGCAUACGCGUACGGCGCGCGUGCACGUCGAUGGGUUAUUUCGAGAGUGACGCGUACGCGUGAGGUGCGCGUACGCGUGACCAGCUUUGCGCGUUUCGCACAAAACGUGCGCGUUGUUCACGUGACUCUCGGAAAAAUGGCUUGGAGGUGAAAACAUGCAAUCCAUGCAUACGCGUGCAUGACGCGUGCGCAUGGAUGGUCGAAAUUGCUAGAUUCAUGCAUACGCGUGAAGCACGCAUGUGUGUGGAUGGUGCUCUGUUUUUCAAAAUUGUUCUAUGUUUUUGCACCAAACCAAGCAUUCCAAACCUCCAAACAGCUACCAAAACAUCAUAAAACCUUAUUUAACCUACUAGACUCCCAAUUAAACUCAACUAACUAAACAAAACAUGAAAUUAAACCUAAAUUACCAAUAUUUACAAAAGAAAAAACGAAAAGAGUUUACCAUGGUGGGGUGUCUCCCACCUAGCACUUUUGUUUAUUGUCCUUAAGUUGGACUUACGGAGAGCUCCUCAUCAAGGUGGUUUGUGCUUGAAUCCAUCCUUGAACAUCCACCAAUGCUUGGACUUUCAUUGUGCUUCAUCAUUCAAAGUUAAUAACUUCAAGCUUUGAUGGAGUUCUUCAUAAACCAUAGGCUCCCAAAGUUGAUCGUCCUUGUGCGAUCCGAGAUCCCACACUUUGUUUUCACACCCGUCCUUGAGUUCAUCAUGGUGAUUUCCUCCGGGUGGUAAGAGUGAUGAAUUCUCAUGAAGGCACCAAACUACCCUCAUAGACCCAUCUACUUGAGCACUACACCAAUUCGUGCUCUUUAAUUUUGAGCUUCCAACCAUAAUGAGCCUAGACUUACAACACCAACUGCUAAACAUCCUCCUUUUACGCUUAUUUCCACAAAGUGCCCUAAGUUGGCCAUCCAUUUCAAAAAUACCAUAUUCAAGUGGGAUAAUAAAUCUAAGAGUUAGAAGUUUUACCCACUCAAAUGAAGGAUUAGAUGACAACCUAGGUGGAGGAGUUCCCAAUGAUCUUGACAAAGCACGCUCCACUCCCGUCCAUCCUCUUCUAGAGGCUUCAACCACUUUGCAAGGUAUUUCAAGCUCUACCUCUUGCCAAGCUUCCUCAAUUUCAAGCUCUUUUUCACCAAUUUCUUCAAGCUCUUCCCCAUCACUCAAAUCAUAAAUAGGAGGUUGAGUGAAGCCUACCUCCUCAUCAAUUCCGAGCAUAGUGGGGAAGGAUUCUUCAAGCUCAAAAGGAUCAUAUGUUGAUUCGGAAUCAUCAUAAAUAGGAGGGCUUGUUGAUUGGAACCCUUUUUCCAAUUCUUCAAUCACAUUGUGCCUUGGAGGUUGUGCACUCUCCUCCUCAACAUCAACUUCAAACUCCAUGGAAGAAGGCUCUUCAAUUUGUGAUUCCUCUAGGUGCUCAACAUAUCCUAAAUACCCAACCACAACUUUCUCUUGUUCAAUAAUCUCUAACUCCUCUUCUUGUUGCACUUCUUGCUUUAACUACUCUUCUGCACCUUGGGGCUUCAAGUUCACUCCCUCACUAAGCUAUUUGGUUGCUUCUCCACAUUCAACAAUGGAAGUACCUUGAUCACAUAGGCUUAGGAGGGAUGAGACUAUGUUGCCAAUGGCUUCUACCAUGAUAGCCAUCUUGGCUUCUAGCUCCUUAAACUCCUUUUCCGUCUCCUUAAACCCUUUUUCCGUCUCCUCUUGUUGCCUUAGGAUAUGAGAUUCAAGAUCUCUUAGUUCUUGCGCGAGGGCUUCAUCGGGGGGCGGUGGUGGAAGAGAAGGCUCAUCAUUUGAGGGAAAGGUGUUGUUGUUGGAAGGUGGUUCAUAUUGGUGAAAGUCUUGAGGUGGUAUGUAUGGAAUUUGUGGUUCUUGAGAGUAUUGGUGUUGGAAUGGUGGUGGCUCUAGAUAUGGUUCAUAUGGUAGUUGGUAUGCUGGGUAUAGAUUAAGAUCAUAUAGAGGUGAAUAGUGGUAUGAGGCUUGUGAGUAUGGUUAUUGAGGGCUAUGUUGGAAAGGGGGUUCAUAUGCAUAUGAUGGUUGUGGUUGACAAUCACAAUAGGGGUCAUCACAUACAUUAGAUUGGUAUGCAUUAGGAUUAGGAGUAUACCCAUAAGAAUCCGAAGAGUGGUCACGUUGGGGUGGUGCUUGGAUGGCUCGGGUGGCAUAAAAUGCCCUUUGGUCGUUGCGCAUCUCCGUGAGGAUAAUAGUCAUGUCCCCAAUCACUCUUGCCAAACUUUGAUCUCCAAAUCCUUGAUGCAUGUUAUCAUUGUAAAUUCCAUCUCCUACAACAUAAGUUGAACCACACUCAUAGCCAAAGGGGUGAGAAUUCAUGGUGACAAGAGAAAAUAAAACAAAAGUUAACAAGAAACAAAGAAAACAAAGUCCUACAACUAGCAAAAAUCAACAAACAAACCAAAAAUAAAGCUAUUCACAAUAUAUACAAUAGCCAAUAACAUAGCACCAUUACAACUCUCCGGCAACGGCGCCAUUAAUUUGGUACGAGAUUCGUUGUCGGUCUAGAAUUUCUCUUGUAGAAAUAAAAACUUCGUUGUAAGAAUAGCUCCAAACUAACAAACAACUCUCACAUCAAAUUAAAUUUUGGUUUUGUCGCAAGUAGAAACCCCAAUAAAGAAUUAACCAAAGUAUUUAAACCUCGGGUUGUCUCACAAGGAAUUGUAAUGAAGUGGACAAUUAUUGGCUAUGAAGGAAUAAAGGGGGUUUGAUUGAUAAAAGUGGCAAUGAAAUAAAUGGCAAGAAAAAUAAAUCAAGCAAGUAUUUAAAGAAGACAAGUAAUAAAGAGAAGCAAUUAAUAAAGAGAGACAUUCAUGACAAGGGUUGAGAAUAUAGGCUUUCUAUCCUAGUCAUUAAUCACAACAAUACUUAACAAGAAUUUAUCUUAUUUCGUCAUCCCCAAUGUUGAAAGAAGGUGUGAGUUAUCUUCCAUUAGAGAAAGUCAAACAAGACUAGUUAAUCUCAAGUCAAAAAUCCUAAUCAACUUACUAAUUGAAUUAACAAGAGAUUAGAGUCAUUGAAAAUGAUAUUAACUAAUAACUCUAGAUCACCAAUCUAAAUUGGGUAUUAAUGACUCAAGAUUGCCCAAUUACUCUUCCCAAGCCAAGAAUGCUCAAAAUCUACUCUAAAGUCCAACCAAGCAUUUUGUCAAACGCUUGGAAGGUAUAAAAGGAAAGCAUAGUAGAAAUGCAAGAAUAAUAAAUCUACCAACUACUAAUUGCAAGGAAAGUAAAUCAACAACUCAAAUCAUCAAUAAAAGAACAUGAAACAUUAAAUUUCAUUAAAUGUAAACAAAAUCCAACAUGAGCAUUCAUAAACAUAAAAGAGGAAUAAAAGUAAAAUUGACAAGAGAACUAAGAAGAAUAGAGUAGUAGAAACAAGAAAUUGUAAAGGAAACAAGAUGAAUUCAAGAAAUCAUGCCUAGAUCUAAGAUGUAAAUAGCCUAAGAACCUUAAUUCUAGAGAGAAGGUGGAGCUUCUCUCUCUAGAAACUAACCUACAUGAUGCUAAGCUACAAACAAUUGCUCCCCCCUUGCCCAAGCUUGAAUUAUGCAUGAAAUAGCAUCAUAAAUGAGUUAGAUUGGGCCCAAAAUGAGCUAGAAAUCGCUGGCCACGAGUUGCUCUUUAAUGAACCACGUGCAACAUCGACGCGUACACGUACAGUGCAUGUACGCAUCAUUAAACGCGAAGCAACUAUGGCAAAUUUUAUAUCAUUUUGAAUCCCCGGAUGUUAGCUUUCCAAAACAAUUGGAACCACCUCCUUUGGACCUCUGUAGCUCAAGUUAUGGUCGAUUGAGUGCGAAGAGGUCAGGCUUGACAACUUUGCGGUUCCUUCAUUUCUUCAUGAGUUCUCCCACUUUGCAUGCUUUUCUCCUCACUUCUUCCAUCCAAUACUUGCCUUAUGAACCUGAAAUCACUCAACAAAUAUAUCAAGGCAUUGAAUGGAAUUAAAGUGAAUUGAAUUUAGCUAUUUUAAGGCCUAAAAAGCAUGUUUUCACACUUAAGCACAAAUUCAGAGAGAAUUGCAAAAUCAUGCUAUUUCAUUAAAUAAAUGUGGAAAAAGUUGAUAAAAUCCCCUAAAUUAAGCACAAAAUAAACCACAAAAUUAGGGUUUAUCAGUAAGUUCAGGGAUAUUUAGGUUACCUACCCCUAUUUAUGGCUUCUCUUUAGAAAUUAAGUUUGAUAACUGGAUGACAGAGUUCUAGGAUUGCCUCUGGCAUUCCCAGGACCUUAUUUAUUAUACGUGUGGCACCUUUACCAUGCUGAAAACCUCCGGUUCUCAUCCUAUACUGUGUUGUUAUUUUCAGAUGCAGGUCAAGAGGCUCCCCGCUAGGUGUCUGGAUCUUGAAGCGGAGUAGUCCCUGGGUUAUUUUGGGUUUUAUGAUUGUAUAUAUAUGUACCUAUGUACUUAGCUUGCUCUCCAAGAAACUUGUUUAUUUUAUUCCUCAUAGAGCUUAAGGGAGAGCUGGGACCUUAUUUUGAGUAUUUUGGGAUAUCUGUAUAUGUAUGUAUAUAUAUUCUCUGGCCAGCCUUGGCUUCGCAGGCUGAAUCAGGAGCUAGCUAUGCUAUUUUCUUGGCUUUCCUUUACUCUCUUGCUUAUCCUAAUCAUUACCUCUUAGGUUUCUUAGCACGCAAGUAAUCCUAUUUCUUGAGCGUUGCGCUUUUUAUUUUGCGAUUUUAUUUUACCCAUUUUUCAAGGCUCCUAGUAUAUUAUCUCUUUCACCAUUAUAUGUAUAUUUUAUCUGAUUAGAGAUCCGUAACACCACACUAUCUCUGUUCUAUGACUUAAGCGUAAGCCACUAUGUAGUAGGGUGUUACACUAUGGUAUCAGAGUAGUUCGUUCCUACAAAGCCUGAGGACAGACUGACUAUGCUUCUGUGCAUUCUCUGUGUAUGUGUCUAUGUGCUAGUAGGAUAUCUAAUUGAUAUAUGUGGCAUAAACGUUCAUGAGUAUGCAUUUGGGACUUAAAGCACUAGACUUGCGAUAUUGAGACUGAUCAACUUAAUAUCACUUGUUUGGUAUGUAUAGGGACCAGAUGUCUACUCGCAGACAUGGACGCGGGCGAGGUUGAGGCAGAAUAGGCAAUGCUAUGCCUGAAGUGUCAGAGAAUACUCCUAACCCUGUAGACUUCAUGGCUGCUUUAGGCAAUAUGGCAGCAGCAAUACAAGUGACAGCUGAAGCCUUGGGAAAUCAAAUUAAUAAUGGAAACAAUAGUAAUAAUGGCGAUAAUGGUCCAAUGUCACUUUCCUCCUUCCUGAAGGUUAACCCUCCGACCUUCAGAGGAACCUCAAACCCUACUGAUGCGGAUAACUGGAUACAAGCUAUUGAGCGGGCAUUACAGGCUCAGCAGGUUCUUGAUGAAUAUUGGGUUGAGUUUGGAACGUACCAGCUGCAUGGUGAAGCUCAGCAUUGGUGACAGGGCAUAAGGCGCAUUCUGCAGCCUGACGGGGUUGUGAUCUCUUGGGAGAUAUUCCGAAAAGAAUUCUAUAAGAAAUAUUUCCCCAACUCAGUUAGAAACCCCAAAGAACUUGAAUUGCUUCAGCUGAAAUAGGGCCAGAUGACCAUUACUUACACAAAUAAAUUUGAGGAACUGUGCCGCUUUUCACACAUCUGUCAGGGAGCUCCUGAGAAUUUUACUGAGUGGAAGUGCAUAAAGUAUGAAGGGGCCUUCAGAGUGACAUUCAAAGAUUUGUAGCACGAAUGAAGAUUCGGGUGUUCUCUUAGCUUGUGAAUAAGAGCAGGGUGGCCGAGGAGUGUGUCAGAAGGGUUGCAGCAGAAAAAGGAACAUGAGGAUGCCAUUCCAAAGGACUACAAGGAGGAAUUUUGCACCUAGGGGUAGACAGUUCAAGCGUGGCGGCUUUGUCCCUCAGAAUAACCAGGGACAAGGCAACUUCAGGAGGCCUAAUACCAAUGCUAAUCAGGGAAGAAGAUAGGGGAAGCAGCUACAAUAGGAUUUGAGUUGCCAUAGAUGUAGGAAGUACUAUUUAGGGCUGUCCAGGUUUGGGACUGGAGUCUGUUAUUCCUGUGGACAGCCUGGACACUUGGCUAACAACUGCCCAGAGAAGAAGAGGUAUGAGACAGGCAGAGUGCAGCAACCAAGGAGAGUAUAUACUACUUCUUCAGUAGGUGCUGAGGGAUCAGAGACAUUGAUCAGAGGUAACUAUGAGAUGGCGGAUAAAACUUUGAAUGCUUUGCUUGAUUCUGGAGCUACACAUUCUUUUAUUGCAUUUGAGAAGGCUGAUGAGUUAGGAUUGAAAAUAGUAGUCCUGGGGUAUGAUUUAAAGGUGUAUAAUGCCACCCACGAGGCUAUGGUGACUAGGUUAAGGUGCCCCCAAGUUCCCUUUCGAAUAGAACAGCGUGACUUCGUGCAUAACUUAAUUUGUUUGCCGAUGACUGGUCUUGAUCUUAUUCUGGGAUUGAACUGGUUAUCCAAGAACCAUGUUCUACUCGAUUGCUCUACAAAAAUAGUGUGUUUUAUGCCUGAAGACAUAGAAGGGCCGGUUGUGGUGAAUAACUACUACAUGAAUUCCAUGACAGUAAACUGUUCUAGGGCCGAAUGCUAGGGAAUAUUGUUGUUAGCUACGGGUGUUUUGGGUGAUGAUCAGAGCUUGGAACAAAUUUCGGUGGUGUGUGAGUUUUCGGAGGUAUUUCCCGAUGACAUUGAAGAAUUUUCACCUAACCAGGAAGUUGAGUUUGCUAUUGAGUUGGUGCCUGGAGCUGGACCAAUCUCGAGUGCUCUUUAUAGGAUGUCACCUCUAGAAAUGGCCGAAUUGAAGUCUCAACUGGAGGAUCUGUUGGGUAAGAACUUUAUCCGACCAAGUGUUUCUCUGUGGGGCGCACCGGUGUUCUGGUAAAGAAGAAAGAUGGGAGUAUGCACUUAUGUGUUAACUAUCGGCAGCUGAAUAAGAUUACUUUGAAGAAUAUAUACCCGUUGCCAGGGAUUGAUGACCUGAUGGACUAAUUACAAAGAGCCGGUGUGUUCUCCAAGAUUGACCUACGAUCCAGAUACCAUCAAAUAAGGGUCAGAGAUGAAGAUAUUCCUAAAACUACCUUCAUAACGCAUUAUAGCCACUAUGAAUACACAGUGAUGUCCUUCGGAUUGACUAAUGCUCCGGCGAUAUUCAUAGAUUACAUGAAUAGGAUUUUCCAUCCAUAUCUGGAUAAGUUUGUUGUAGUGUUUAUCGACGACAUUCUUAUCUACUCUAAGACAGAGGAUGAGCAUGCAGAGCACUUGCGAACAGUGCUGCAAAUCCUGAAGGAUAGGAAGUUGCAUGCCAAGCUAUCCAUGUGUGAGUUCUGGAAGUCUGAAGUGAAAUUUCUUAGUCAUGUGGUAAGUAAGCAAGGGAUAGCAGUAGAUCCUGCUAAGGUUGAGGCGGUGAUGAAUUGGGAGCGACCAACUUCAGUGAUGGAAAUCAGGAGUUUCUUAGGUUUGAUGAGUUAUUAUCGGAGGUUCAUUAAAGGGUUUUCAUAGCUCGCUUUGCCUUUGACCAAGCUGACCAGGAAGGAUGUUCCUUUUGAAUGGACUCCUGAGUGCGAGGAGAGUUUCCUUGCGUUGAAGCAGAGGUUGACUACUGCACCUGUAUUGGUGUUGCCUGAACCAAGAGAACCAUUUGAGGUAUACUGUGAUGCAUCCUUGAAGGGUUUAGGAUGGGUGUUAAUGCAGCAUCAUAAAGUUGUAGCUUAUGCCUCAUGUCAGUUAAGGCCACAUGAAAGAAACUAUCCAACUCAUGAUUUGGAACUCGCUACCGUGGUGUUUGCUUUGAAGAUUUGGAGGCACUAUCUCUAUGGUGUGAAAUUUCAAGUUUUCUCGGACCAUAAAAGCUUGAAGUACCUAUUUGAACAAAAAGAGUUGAAUAUGCGUCAGAGGAGGUGGAUGGAACUCCUAAAGGACUAUGACUUCGAGCUGAACUACCAUCCGGGAAAGGCGAAUGUGGUGGCAGAUGCCUUGAGUAGAAAAUCUCUAUGUGCCGCUUGGAUGAUGCUAAGAGAGGAACAAUUGCUAAAAGCCUUCCAAGGAUUGAAACUGGAAAUCAGAAAAGAGUUUGGGACUUUAUGCAUAAGUCAGUUAUAGAUUUCAAGCGACUUCAAGACUGAACUAGUAAAGGCUCAUCAGAAUGACCAAAAAUUGUAUAAGAUUUUGCCGGCAAUUGAGAAAGGAAAGCAAUAGAGAGUGUCAGAAGAUAAAGAUGGGUUGUGGAGGUUCAAGGGUCGGAUAAUUGUGCCAGAUGUCAGGGAUUUACGACAGAGCAUAUUGGAGGAAGCUCAUAAGAGCGGGUUCUCCAUUCAUCCGGGAAGCACCAAGAUGUACCAAGACCUAAAGACGAUGUUCUGGUGGCCAGGAAUGAAAAAUGAUGUGGCAUUGCAUGUUUUCAAAUGCUUAACUUGUCAGAAAGUCAAAAUCAAACAUCAAAGACCAGUAGGAACCCUUCAACCUUUGGAGAUUCCACAGUGGAAGUGGGAAAGCUUUGCUAUGGAUUUUGUGUUGGGUUUACCAAUAAAUCGGACAUGUUGUGAUGCUAUUUUGAUGGUUGUAGAUCGACUGACCAAGUCAGCUCAUUUUCUGCCUAUUCGGAUAAGUUGUACUAUGAAGGAGUUGGCUCGGUUAUACAUAAAGGAGAUUGUGAGGUUACAUGGCGUACCUUCCACUAUUGUAUCUGAUAGAGAUCCUCGCUUCACAUAAUGAUUUUGGGGAGCCUUUCAGCGAGCCUUUGGCACUCAAUUAAGCCUAAGUACUGCAUAUCAUCCUUAGACGGAUGGCCAAUCAGAAAGAACAAUCAAAACCUUGGAAGACAUGCUAAGAGCUUAUGUUUUGGACCAGUCAGCGAGCUGGGAUCGAUAUAUGCCUUUGGUAGAGUUUGCUUAUAACAACAGCUAUCAUGUGAGUAUUGGAAUGGCUCCAUAUGAAGCUUUGUAUGGAAGGAAAUGUCAGUCUCUGUUAUGUUGGUAUGAAGCAGGAGAAAAGAGCCUGAUAGGACCUGAAAUGAUAAGUGAAACCACUGAGCAAAUAAAGAAAAUCCGUAGUCGAAUGUUCAUGGCUCAAAGCCAUCAGAAAAGCUAUGCUAACCAAAGGCGGAAGCCUUUAGAGUUUAAGGAAGGAGAACACGUUUUCUGAAAGGUUACUCCGACCACUGCAAUAGGGAGGUCCAUCAAAACUAAGAAGUUAAAUCCCCGUUACAUUGGACCAUUUGAAAUCCUGAAGAGAAUUGGACCGGUGGCGUAUAGGAUCACUUUACCACCACAUCUUUCGAACCUGCAUGACGUGUUUCACGUAUCGCAGCUUCAUAAAUACACUUUUGAUCCUAGUCAUGUCCUAGAACCGGAAUCAGUCCAAGUGAGAGAAGAUCUGACGCUUCCAGUAACUCUGGUUAGGAUUGAUGAUACCAGCAUCAAGCAUUACGGGGAAAAGAGGUUUCUUUGGUAAAAGUAGCUUGGAGUCAGGCUGGUAUUGAAGAACAUACCUGGGAGCUUGAGUGAGAGAUGCGGAAGGACUACCCACACCUCUUUUCAGGUAACUCACUCUGAAUUUUGAGGACAAAAUUUCUAAUGAGGUGGGAAGGAUGUAAACCCCGCUAAAAUUGAUAAAUAAUUAGUCAAUAAAUUGAAUUUUAAUUAGAAAAAUUGAAAAUGCAAAACUAAUAUCAAAAUAGGAUAGAUCUCUUCAAAACAAGAAUUUUGAUACCAAUUUCAAAAAAUUUAGACCAAAAUUAGACCGAAAAGGCCGAACCGGUUGAACCGAGGCCCAAACCGAGCCCGUGGCUCCAACCGGACCCAUAAAAGAAGCAACAGCUCCUUCUACCCCAUUUCAUCCACAGCGACACCAAACAGAUUGAGGAGGAAGAAGAUGUAACUCCCUAAUUCGCCUAAGCCUUACCUUGCGUCGUAAAGUAAAGGUUAAUCAGAGAUUACGGCAGAUCUAAGCUCGUACAUAGUAUAUAUAUAUAGAAGGAAUAUAAUAAUCUAGAAGCUCGAUGAAAGAUAUAGCUCAAAAUCAUAGAAUUUGAAAUGCGCAAAUCGUACUAACGAACUACUAGCUUAACGCACAAGAAACAGAUAAGAUACAACAAAAUAUAAGUAUAUAAUACCAUAGGAAACUAGCCUCGAUUCGCGGAGUUUAAGCCGGCUAGCCAUAUAUAAGUAUACAUGAUUAUACAGAAAACUGACAGUUCUAAAACAACUUAUACAAAUUUUUCUCUCAUAAACAUGCCUCUAGGCAAAACAAAAUACAAAAGAGAGAUGUAUAAACAAAAUAAACCAAAAGACUCCAAAGGAAACCAAGAUCCUCCGCUCCUGUCACCAUCCAAAGCAACUCACCGGGGUGGCUUGCGACCUGCAUCUAAAAAACACAACAAAGAUAUGGUAUGAGAACCGGAGGUUCUCAGUAUGGUAACAGUGCCCAGUGAUGUAGGAUAUAAGACCCCGGGACGCCAAAGGCAAUCCUAAGCUCCAUAUCCAUCACAAGAUUCAAGCUUAAAGCAUUCUAAAACAAAUAAGCAUAAUAUAAACCUCAUCAUAAACAAACCGGGUGAUCUAUCUUAAGGGAUUUCUAAUUCUAAACAAACAUCGCUGUCCCACAGCCUUAACCAACCUAUCCUCCAUGCGAUCCCAUCGCCACCGCCUUCCGAACCUCCUCAAUCCCAGUAGAAAGCACAAUUAAUAACAAUGCAAGUAAUUCACAAGUAAAAUCAUAUAAGGCAAGUAGAUCAAGUAAGCAAAUAGACAUGUUAUUCAAUUAGGCAUACAAUUACAAGUCGGCAAAGCAAACAAACAGGUAGGAAAUGCAUAUGAUGAAUGCCUGCCCUACUGGCUGUGAUAUCACAUUGUCGGUUCAACUGCCAACCCGACACAUCUCCAUGGAGACGUCACCCUUCGGAUUUCUCAUAUGGGAACCCCCGAGAUAUAGUUCCCGGAUCACUGUCCAAGUAUCGGCGCAUACACACUCUAUAGGUCCGAAGGGAUGCGAGCGGGAUACUCUUGCCACAGACCUCACAUCUCAACACAAGCAGGAUGAACCACCGCCCUUGCACUGCCACCGCUACCUUGACAGGCGGGAUCCAACCGCCGUCUCUGCCGAAAGCAUAGCAUCUCAUAUUCUCAGUAAAAAUAAUAUUUCAGUGGUUUUCAGAAAAUAUUGUCAGUAUACAGAGAUCCAUCGUCUCAAUCCGAGUCCUCGACUCACUCAACCACUGUCCCUUUCAUAACUCAGUUCCCAAGGUCAAGAGUUCAUCAUUCCUUAUCUCAUAUAUCACUCAUCCUCCACCCAACGUCACAUCAUUCUCAGCACGCCAGAAACCUAAGCCUCCAUUUUCUAAUUUAUCAUAAAACUGUGUUCUAGAAACCUUAAGUUUUAAAAUGGUGUUUUAGAAGCUUACAACCAUGUUGGAAAGGUAGAAUAAUUGAAAACAAAUAAAAUUUUGAGAAACAGGAUGUGUGCGGCCACACAAGGGUCUGUGCGUGCGCACACUCCUAAGAGUUUUGAAAUGUGUGCGUACGCACAGGGGUGUUGGUGCACGAAUUGUGAAUCACACUUUUCACAACGCGUACCACUAACCAGCAAGUGCACUGGGUCGUCCAAGUAAUACCUUACGUGAGUAAGGGUCGAAUCCCACGGAGAUUGUUGGUUUGAAGCAAUCUAUGGUUAUCUUGUAAGUCUUAGUCAGGAAGUCAAUUAUGUUUAUCAGUUGAAUUGCAAAUAAACAAUAGAGCAUGGAUUAAAGGUUACUUGUUAUGCAGUAAUGGAGAAUAUGUUGGAGUUUUUGGAGAUGCUUUGUCUUCUGAAUCUCUGCUUUCCUCUGUCUUCACGCCAAAUUCUUGCCCAUUUCUGGCGUUGAACGCCAAUCCUGCCUUGUUUCUGGCGCUGAACGCCAGUUUUGGGCAUGGUCUGGGCGUUCAGCGCCAGCCUUCCACCCAUUUUCUGGCGUUUUAGUGCCAGAAUUAUUUUUCCCUAGGCUCUUACUGUCCUCAGGUGAAUCUUUGGUGGGUCGCUCAUUUCUUGAAUUUUUGAUGCCUUGAGGUGGGGUAUUUAAUGUUUUUCCACUUCUUAAUUGAACUGCUUGGCAUUCUUCUGCUAUUUGCCUUGAUAGCUGCUUCUUUGUUUGCUUAAACUGUUCGUCCAUAUGUAUAUUAGCUAUCCUUGUCUCCUGUAGCCUGUCCUUGAAUUCAGCUAGCUGCUUUGUUAGAAAAUCCAAUUGCUGAUUGAAUUCAGCAGCUUAUUUUACAGUACUGAAUUCAGCAGUUACUGUUUUAACCUCUUCAUUCAUGGAAGGGUUGCUGCUUAGAUAGGAUUCUCUUUAAUUCUCUGUUGGAGACUUCAGCUUGCCCGUUGGUUUGUGGAUGAUAUGGAGUGGCCACUUUGUGGCGAAUUUCAUACCGAACCAUGGCAGAGUAAAGCUGUUUAUUGCAGAAGUGAGUGCCCCCAUCACUGAUUAACACUCCAGGGACACCAAACCUGCUAAAGAUAUGUUUCUGGAGGAACUUCAGCACUGUUUUAGUAUCAUUGGUGGGUGUGGCGAUAGCCUCAACCCAUUUUGAUACAUAGUCAACUGCCACUAGAAUAUAAGUGUUUGAGUAUGAUGGUGGGAAAGGUCCCAUGAAGUCAAUUCCCCAUACUUUGUGCAAAGUAUGGACUAUUAUAUAUUGCUGGAAAGCCCUGGAUGUCUACUUUCCAACGCAAUUGGAAGCAUGCCAUUUUGAGUUCUGUAGCUCCAGAAAAUCCACUUUGAGUGCAAGGAGGUCAGAAUCCAACAACAUCAGCAGUCCUUUUUCAGCCUGAAUCAGAUUUUUGCUCAGCUCCUUCAAUUUCAGCCAGAAAAAUACCUGAAAUUACAGAAAAACACACAACUCAUAGUAAAGUCCAGAAAUAUGAAUUUUUCCUAAAAACUACUAGAAAUAGACUAAAAACUAACUAAAACAUACUCUAAACUAUAUGAAAUUAUCCCCAAAAAGCGUAUAAAAUAUCCGCUCAUCAGGUGUGCGUACGCACAGGUGUAAAUUUUUACAAGGAUCUGUGCACUCGCACAACCUGUGCCAGCGCCCCCAACAGACUGACCUUCCCGACGCGUGCGUCCGCAUAGGUUGAAGUUUUUCCUUAGAUGUGUGCGCGGACAAGCUGUGCUGGCGCUGCGAACAGAAUGCACUUUCCUGCCUAUGCGUGCGCACAGAUGUGUGCGUUCGCACAGGUUGAAAUAUUUGCAGGAUGUGCGUCCACACAUGGGUGUGCGCCCGCACACAUCAAAAAUCUUGAAAUUCUGCAACUUUGCAGAAUUUCAGAUUUUUAACACCAACUUUGAAGGAUCAUAACUUCCUCUACAAAAUUCCAAUUUUCACAAAUUUUAUAUCGAUCUAAAGAGUUUUCAAAGAUAUAUAAUUAUAAAUAAAUUUCAAUCAAUUUUGAAAACCGAGGCAAAAGUUAUGAUCAAGCAAAGUUCACCAAAAACUCAAUUUUACCAAACUUCACAACUUACACAAUUUAUUACCAUUCACAUUCCAACCCUUACCAUACCAUUCCAAAACUCCAUUUUUCAUCAAAAUGUACCUAUUGUAUCAUAAUACACCAACCUUGCCACAUUCUCCUUCUCAUUUCAUUACUUUCAAUUCCAACAAUCAACCAUAUAACACUUUAUGAUCCAAAUCACCAUCACACUCACCAUUUCAUAAGUCAUCGUACUACAAUCAUCAUAAGGAACCAACUUUUAAUCCAUACAAUCAUUCAACAUCAACACAUCAUUAAAAUUCAUCACAAUCAACCCAACAAUCAUCAAUUCAUCAUCAUAUAACACACCAACCAUCAUUUUAGUUCAAUCUAUCUUAUUGGUCACUAGCCUAUGUGUCCAUGAAUAUUAUAUACUACAUAGAGGAAACCGAAACCAUACCUUGCCCGAUUCUCCUUUAUGCACCAAAACUCAAAUUGAUCACCAAAUAGCUUUCAACCAAAUUCCAAGCUUUCACAUCCACUCCAAUAAGCACAAAUAAGUUCCAAGAGCUCCCAAAGCCACAACAAUCAAACUAUAUACAUAUAAAUCACCACCAAUCAACCUAGGGCUUCACAUAAAUCAAAUCUCACAAGGGUUUAGUAUCUCUUACCUCUCCCAACAGAUUUGAUUGCCACAAUCCAAGGCUAAGCAAGGAUUAGAGCAACCUAACAUCCAAAAUCACAAAAACUCAUUUAAUCAAAAAUCCUAUAAACCCAAAAUUUUGAGGAGAGAAACUGAGAAGGAUUCGAGAUUUUCUUACCAGUUUCUUAUAUGGGUUUUGUAGAGCUCUUCACAAGAAACGCGUAGCCACUGAUGGCACGCAAAUCGGAGCUCUCUAGCUCAAGAUAUCGCGAAGAGAAGAGAUGGGUGAAUAGUGCUCUUCGGGUUUCUUCUUCCUCUCUUCAAUUCAGCAUGAGUGUUGUGUUUAUGUGUGUGUGUGGGCUGGAAAUGGGUUCAUUAAUGAACCUUUUAUAUGUUGGGCUUAGGCCCAACUUAGGCCUGGUCCAACCCGUUAGCGUUUUUAGCCCGUUUGGCCCAACUUCAGGCCAAACCUUUAAAAUUAAUGCUUGGUUUUCCAUUUCUAACAUUUUUCUAAUAUUUUUGCCGGUUUUUACUUUUUCUCAUGUGGUACCAGGCAGACUUGAACCGGUUCAACCGGUUCAACUGCCGAUUUAUGGUUUUUCACGAUUUUUCGCAGACAGCACAUUUUCUGACUCAGAAAAACCCACUGAGUCCAAAAAUCACCUUUGAAUCCUCAAAUUCUCACUCUAAGUUUUCGAGAUUUAAUUUGGGCAAUAUUAAUUACUAAACUAACCAGUUGAUUAGUUGCGGUUCUUACAUUCUCCCCACCAAAUAAGAAAUUUUGCCCUCAAAAUUUUAAUUACGUGAGAAAAGACCAGGAUAAUUCUUUCGCAUUUCAGACUCCAAUUCCCAAGUGUGCUCUUCUACUCCUACUCGUUCCCAAGCAACUUUAACCAAUGGGACAUCCUUUCCUCGUAGCUUCUUCACACUAUCGAUCCUCACUGGUGUUACUUGGAAAGUCAGAUUCUCUUUCAACUCGACCGAUUCAGGCUCCAACACAUGAGCUGCAUCCGAUGUGUACUUACAGAGUUGUGACACGUGGAAUACGUCAUGCAAGUUAGACAGAUGAGGUGGCAAAGCGACUUGAUACGCCACCGGCCCGAAUCUCUUUAGAAUCUCAAACGGUCCUAUGUAUCUCGGGUUCAACUUCUUGGUCUUGAUUGCUCUUUCAAUCCCAGUUGUCAGUGUAACCUUGAGGAAUACAUGUUCUCCUACUUCAAACUCUAAUAGUUUUCUUCUCUGAUCCGUAUAACUCUUUUGUCGACUCUGAGCAGUCAAAAUCCUUUCUCGUAUUCUCUUAUCUUCUCAGUAGUCUCUGCUACCACAUCUGGACCCAAAACACUUGCUUCACCAGAUUCAUACCAACAAAGUGGAGACUGGCACUUCCGUCCAUACAAGGCCUCAUACGGAGCCAUCCCAAUGCUCGCAUGAAAGCUGUUGUUGUAUGCAAACUUCACCAACGGCAUGUAAUGGUCCCAACUUCCAGGUUGAUCCAAAACACACGCUCUUAGCAUAUCCUCCAAUGUCUGAAUAGUCCUUUCCAACUUUCCAUCGGUUUGCGGAUGAUAUGCGGUACUGAGACAUAGCUUCGUACCGAAAGCCCUUUAGAAGGCUCCCCAAAACCUUGAAGUGAAUCGAGGAUCAUGGUCCGAUACUAUGCUCGACGGCACACCAUGUAAUCUUACUAUCUCCUUGAUGUACAAUCUUGAUAACUCUUCCAUAGAACAGUUUACUCGGAUAGGUAGAAAAUGAGCGGAUUUGGUUAAGCGAUCCACGAUCACCCAAAUUGCAUCAAAUCCCGACCUAGUCCUCGGUAAACCGGUCACAAAAUCCAUCGCAAUUCCUUUCCACUUCCACUGAGGAAUCUCAAGUGGUUGUAACAUUCCUAACGGUUUCUGAUGCUCUUUCUUCACUUUCUGAUAAGUCAAACAUUUGGAUACCACGGUUGCUACAUCACCUUUUUCAUCCCAGGCCACCAGAACAUCCUCUUCAAGUCAUAAUACAUCUCCGUGCUUCCGGGAUGAAUAGAAAACCCACUGUUGUGAGCCUUCGACAGCAAGUCUCGCCUCAAACUCCCAACAUCCGGUAUGCAAAUUCUUCCCUUGUAUCUCCAUAACCCUUCAUCAUCCUUAGUGAAUUCUUCGCACCUCUUAUCACCAACUGGUUGGAACAAUUAUUAAAGCUUCUGCUCAUCUUGCUGAGCCCUUUUGUAUUUCUGAUUUAAACAUGCUUGAGAUUUGUAACUGGUUCAAACAAGAUCUUCCAACAACUUCACCAAUAUUCAGCUUAAGAUCUACAAACUUAUCCACUAGCUCUUCUUCCUUGAUUCUCAUCCAAGCAAUUGUUAAAGAUUUCCGACUCAAAGCAUCGGCUACCACGUUUGCCUUUCCAGGAUGAUAACUCAUCUCAAAAUCAUAAUCUUUCAGCAACUCCAUCCACCUCCUCUGACGCAUAUUUAGUUCCUUGAUGAGUGGAUAAUUUAUACGCUUUUUGACAUUAUUUUUACAUAGUUUUUAGUAUGAUUUUGUUAGUUUUUAGUAUAUUUUUAUUAGUUUUUAAUUAAAAUUCACAUUUCUGGACUUUACUAUGAGUUUGUGUGUUUUUCUGUGAUUUCAGGUAAUUUCUGACUGAAAUUGAGGGACCUGAGCAAAAAUCUGAUUCAGGCUGAAAAAGGACUGCAGAUGUUGUUGGAAUCUGACCUCCCUGCACUCAAAGUCAAUUUUCUGGAGCUACAGAACUCCAAAUGGCGUGCUCUCAAUUGCGUUGGAAAGUAGACAUCCAGGGCUUUCCAGAAAUAUAUAAUAGUCCAUACUUUGCUCGAGUUUAGAUGAUCAAAACUGACAUUCAACGCCAAUUCCAUGCUGCAUUCUGGAGUUAAACUCCAGAAACAGGUUGCAAAGUGGAAUUAAACGCCAGAAAUAGGUAACAAACUGGCGUUCAACUCCAAGAGAAGCCUCUACACGUGUAAAGCUCAAUGCUUAGCCCAAGCACACACCAAGUGGGCCCUAGAAGUGGAUUUCUGCAUCAUUUACUCAUUUCUGUAAACCCUAGUAACUAGUUUAGUAUAAAUAGGAUUUUUUACUAUUGUAUUUACAUCUUCGGAUCAGAUCUUUGAUCAGUUUUAUGCUAUCUUAGACCUUUAUAGGGGCUGGCCAUUCAGCCAUGCCUGGACCAUCAUCACUUAUGUAUUUUCAACGGUAGAGUUUCUACACACCAUAGAUUAAGGUGUGGAGCUCUGCAGUUCCUCAUUAAUUAAUGCAAAAUACUAUUGUUUUUCUAUUCAAUUCAAGCUUAUUCCUAUUUUAAGAUAUCCAUUUGCACCCAAGAACAUGAUGAAUGUGAUGAUUAUGUGACGCUCAUCAUCAUUCUCACUUAUGAACGCGUGCCUGACAAACACUUCCGUUCUACAUGCAAACAAGCUAGAAUGAAUAUCUCUUGGAUAUCUAAUACAGGGGACCGAGUCUGAGAUAUUAGAAUCUUCGUGGUAUAAGUUAGAACCCAUGGAUGGCCAUUCCUGAGAUCCGGAAAGUCUAAACCUUGUCUGUGGUAUUCCGAGUAGGAUCUGGGAAGGGAUGGCUGUGACGAGCUUCAAACUCGCGAGUGCUGGGCGUAGUGACAGACGCAAAAGGAUAGUAAAUCCUAUUCCAGUAUGAUCGAGAACCGACAGAUGAUUAUCCAUGCAGUGACAGCGCAUUGGACCAUUUUCACAGAGAGGACGGAAUGUAGCCAUUGACAACGGUGAUGCCCAACAUACAGCUUGCUAUGGAAAGGAGUAGGAAUGAUUGGAUGAAGACAGCAGGAAAGCAGAGGUUUAGAGGAACGAAAGCAUCUCUAUACGCUUAUCUAAAAUUCUCACCAAUGAAUUACAUAAGUACCUCUAUCUUUAUUUUACGUUUUAUUUAUCUUUUUAUUAUCAAUUCACCAUAACCAUUUGAAUUCGCCUGACUGAGAUUUACAAGGUGACCAUAGCUUGCUUCAGGCCGACAAUCUCCGUGGGAUCGACCCUUACUCACGUAAGGUUUAUUACUUGGACGACCCAGUGCACUUGUUGGUUAGUUGUGCGAAGUUGUGAUAAAGAGUUGAGAUUAUAAUUGUGCGUACCAAGUUGUUGGCGCCAUUGAUGAUCACAAUUUCGUGCACCACUCCUUCUGAUCAAAGAUGUACUUGAGACUCUUAUGAUCAGAAAAUACGCUAAACCUCACUUCAUACAAGUGGUGUCUCCAAAUCUUCAAUGCAAACACAAUCGCCACUAAUUCCAAGUCAUGAGUAGGGUAAUUCAUCUCAUGCGGUCUCAGCUGACGCGAUGCGUAAGCCACCACAUUCCGAUGUUGCAUCAACACGCAACCCAAACCUUUCAGCGAUGCAUCACAAUAUACUUCGAAUGGUUCAUGCGGUUCUGGCAAAAUCAAAACUGGCGCUGAAGUCAACUUCUGCUUCAAAGUUUGGAAACUCUCUUCGCAUUCCGACGUCCACACGAAUGGCACUUCUUUCCUCGUUAAUUUUGUCAUCGGUAGCGCAAUCCGGGAAAAUCCUUUGAUAAAUCUCCGGUAAUAUCCGGCUAAACCCAAAAAGCUCCUGACUUCCAUCACAGUCGUCGGUCUUUCCCAUUCCAUCACCGUUUCUACCUUAGAAGGGUCUACCGCUAUUCCUCCUUUGCUCACCACAUGACCUAAGAACUUUACUUCUUCCUUCCAGAACUCGCACGACAACUUAGCGUACAACUUUCACUCCUUUAGAAUUUGUAGCACAAUCCUCAAGUGCUCCUCAUGUUCUUUUGCCGUUUUAGAGUAAACCAAGAUGUCAUCUAUGAAAACCACUACGAAUUUGUCCAAAAAGGGAUGAAAGACUCUGUUCAUGUAAUCCAUAAAAACAGCAGCUGCAUUCGUUAACCCAAAGGACAUUACCGCAAACUCAUAGUAUCUAUAGCGUGUUCUAAACGUAGUCUUAGGAAUAUCAUCCUCCUUCACCCUUAUCUGAUGGUAACCGGAUCUCAAAUCAAUCUUGGAAAAUACUCCAGCUCCUUGGUAUUGAUCUAUCAAGUCAUCUAUUCUUGCCAGUGGGUACUUGUUCUUCAUACUCACCUUGUUCAACUGUCGGUAAUCCACGCACAAACGCAUUCCCCCAUCUUUCUUCUUCACCAAUAAACUGGCGCUCUCCACGGUGAUACACUCGGCCGAAUGAACAUCUUGUUCAGAAGCUCUUCCAACUGAGUCUUUAACUCUGCCAGCUCUAUCAGAGCCAUUCUAUACGACGCAAUCGACACUGGCCCGGAUCCCGGCACCAAUUCGAUCGCAAAUUCAAUUUCCCUCGGAGGUGGAAACUCAGGGAUAUCUUCCAGGAAUACUUCUGGAAAAUCUCUAACCACCAGUAUCUGAUCUAAGUUCUGGGCAUCACCCAACGCAUUAGCAGCAAACAGAACAUAACCCUGACACUCCUCCCCACUACAAUGCACCAUUACAGAGUUCAGGUAAUACCCCGUAGCUACCACUGCUCCAUUUUUUCCUUCCGACAUAAACCGAAUUGUCCGUUCAAAAUAAUCCAACAAAACCCGGUUCUUCGACAACCAAUCAAACCCCAAAAUCAUCUCCAGCCCCACCAUUGGUAAACAAAUCAAAUCAUGCACAAAGUCUCUACCCUCAAGCUUAAAACUUACUUGUCUACAACCUAACCUAGUCAUAACUAUUUGAUGUGGAGUGUGUACAUGCAGAUCAAAAGGUAAUUCUGACUCUUUCAAGCCUAAUUCCUCAACUUUAGCAAACGAAAUAAACGAAUGCGAAGCUCCAGUAUCAUAUAAUGCAACUAAAGAUUUAUCACCAAUUAAAAAUAUACCUCUCAUCAACGGAUCCGCCUUAGAAGCAUCCUUGGCAUUCACAGCAAAGACUCAACCUUGAUGCUGACUCUGGCCCGCAUUCUGAUUCCUCCCACGAGUGCAAUCCCUCGCAAUGUGGCCAGGCAACCCACAAUUGAAACAACCACCUAAACCAAUUUUGCAUGAGUCAUAAGGAUGGAAACGCCCACAAUGUACAUAAGUCAAAUCUGGAGAACUCUUACUCUGAUUUCCUCUCCCUUUGCCACGCUGAAUCUGGUCAUGUGUGUUCUUUCUGAAGCCUCCUUGACCUUGAGGCACAUAUACUCCUCUCUUGAAGCUUUGUCCUCUCGGAUGAAGGUACCUGCCACGCCCCCGACUAGAACUCCCUCUAUGAGUGUCCUUAGAUGCCACCACUGUCUUGGCAUACUCCUCCACUACUCUAGCCUUAUUCACCAAGUCGGAGAAGACAUGGAUCUCCAUAGGAGCCACAGCAGUCAUAAUGUUGUCCUUCAAACCCCUUUGGUACUUAAUGUAUCUCCAGCUCUCAAAAGUCUCUGGGUCACCCUGACACACCCGAGAAAACCUACAAAGCUCUUCGAACUUGUUGGUGUACUCAGCCACAGACAUGGAACCUUGCUUCAGCUGCAUUAGCUGCAUCUCCUUCGCUUCUCUUGCAGACUCAGGGAAAUACUUCUUAUAGAAAGCAGUUUGAAACACCUCCCAUGGAAUGUCAGCGUUCUGAAGCUGUAGCACACGACACUCAGCUUGCCACCAGGGCUGGGCUUCUCCCGCUAGCUGAUAAGUGGCAAACUCUACAUACUGAUUGAGUGGAACAUGCUGCGCCUAUAAAGCAUGCUCCAUAGCCUGGAACCAGUGGUCCGCUUCAACAGGAUUUGUGGAACCUCAAAAAGUUGGCGGAUGAACCUUGAGGAACGUUGCCAAGGUCAUCAGAACUACUCCCAUGUUAUCGCUGUUUCCCUCAGCAUUAUCAUUGGCAUUUCCUUCUCCGUUCCCAUUGCCAUUCCCCGCCGGUUGGCCUAACCUCUGCACAGCUUGCAGAGUCGCAGCAGCAUUUGCUUCCGUGGUGUUUGCUAAGUUAGCCAUGGCCGCUAUAAACUCGACAUGGUUAUCAGUUGGUUGCUCAUUCCUACUUUCUCGCGUACGUGUUCGACCUCGCCUGCGAGUAGCCAUGUAGGGUUCCUGUCUACACCAAACAAUCAUUAUCAAGGUGAUCAGUCUCAAUAUCAAGAGCCUAGUGCUUCAAUUAUCCCAAACAGGCACUCACAAACAAGCAUGCUAUGCAUAUAUCAAGUAGAUAACCUAAUAGCAUCAAAGAAAUGACACAUAGAGUAUGCAAUGAAGCGCAAUCGGUCCAUCCCUCAGGCUCACGAGGACAAACCGCUCUGAUACCACUAAAUGUAACACCCUAAUUCGCCUAAGCCUUACCUCGCAUCGUAAAGCAAAGGUUAAUCAGAGAUUACGAUAGUUCUAAGCUCGUACAUAGUAUAUAUAUAGAAGGAAUAUAAUAAUCUAGAAACCCGAUGAAAGAUAUAGCUCAAAAUCAUAGAAUUUGAAAUGCGCAAAUCGUACUAACGAACUACUAGCUUAACGCACAACAAACAGAUAAGAUACAAUAAAAUAUAAGUAUAUAAUACCAUAGGAAACUAGCCUCGACUCGCGGAGUUUAAGCCGAAUAGCCAUAUAUAAGUAUACAUGAUUAUACAGAAAACUGACAGUUCUAAAACAGCUUAUACAAGUUUUUCUCUCAUAAACAUGCCUCUAGGAAAAAAAAUACAAAAGAGAGAUAUAUAAACAAAAUAAACCAAAAGACUCCAAAGGAAACCAAGAUCCUCCACUCCUAUCACCAUCCAAAACAACUCACCGGGGUGGGUUACGACCUGCAUCUGAAAAACACAACAAAGAUAUGGUAUGAGAACCAGAGGUUCUCAUUAUGGUAACAGUGCCCAGUGAUGUAGGAUAUAAGACCCCGGGACACCAAAGGCAAUCCUAAGCUCCAUAUCCAUCACAAAAUUCAAGCUUAAAGCAUUCUAAAACAAAUAAGCAUAAUAUAAACCUCAUCAUAAACAAACCGGGUGAUCUAUCUUAAGGGAUUUCUAAUUCUAAACAAACACCGCUGUCCCACAGCCUUCACCAACCUAUCCUCCAUGCGAUCCCAUCGCCACCGCCUACCGAACCUCCUCAAUCCCAGUAAAAAGCAUAAUUAAUAACAAUGCAAGUAAUUCACAAGUAAAAUCAUAUAAGGCAAGUAGAUCAAGUAAGCAAAUAAACAUGUUAUUCAAUUAGGCAUACAAUUACAAGUCGACAAAGCAAACAAACAGGUAGAAAAUGUAUAUGAUGAAUGCCUGCCUUACUGGCUGUGAUAUCACAUUGUCGGUUCAACUUCCAACCCGACACAUCUCCAUGGAGACGUCGCCCUUCGGAUUUCUCAUAUGGGAACCCCCGAGAUAUAGUGCCGGGAUCACUGUCCAGGUACCGGCACCUGCACGCUCUAUAGGUCCGAAGGGAUGCGAACGGGAUACUCUUGCCACAGACCUCACAUCUCAACGCAAGCGGGACGAACCACUACCCUUGCGCCGCCACUGCUACCUCGACAGGCGGGAUCCAACCGCCGUCCCUGCCGGGCGCAUAGCGUCUCAUAUUCUCAGUAAAAAUAAUAUUUCAGUGGUUUUCAAAAAAUAUUUUCAGUAUACAGAGAUCCAUCAUCUCAAUCCGAGUCCUCGACUCAUCUCAACCACUGUCCCUUUCAUAACUCAGUUCCCAAGGUCAAGAGUUCAUCGUUCCUUAUCACAUAUAUCACUCAUCCUCCACCUAACGUCAAAUCAUUCUCAGCAAGCCAGAAACCUAAGCCUUCAUUUUCUAAUUUAUCAUAAAACUGUGUUCUAGAAACCUUAAGUUUUAAAAAUGGUGUUUUAGAAGCUUACAACCAUUUUGGGAAGGUAGAAUAGUUGAAAACAAAUAAAAUUUUGAGAAACAGGAUGUGUGCGGCCGCACAAGGGUCUGUGCGUGCGCACACUCCUAAGAGUUUUGAAAUGUGUGCGUACACACAGGGGUGUGCGUACGCAUAGGUGUAAAUUUUUACAAGGAUCUGUGCACUCGCACAACCUGUGCCAGCGACCUAACAGACAGACCUUCCCGACGUGUGCAUCCGCACAGACCUGUGCGUCCGCUAAAGUUGAAGUUUUUCCUUAGAUGUGUGCGCGCACAAGCUGUGCUGGCGCUGCGAACAGAACGCACUUCCCUGCCUGUGCGUCCACACAAGGGUGUGCGCCCGCACACAUCAGAAAUCAUGAAAUUCUGCAACUUUACAGAAUUUCAGAUUUUUAACACCAACUUUGAAGGAUCAUAACUUCCUCUACUAAAUUCCAAUUUUCACAAAUUUUAUAUCGAUCUAAAGAGUUUUCAAAGAUCUUUAAUUAUAAAUAAAUUUCAAUCAAUUUCAAAAACCGAGGCAAAAGUUAUGAUCGAGCAAAGUUCACCAAAAACUCCAUUUUACCAAACUUCACAACUUACACAAUUUAUUACCAUUCACAUUCCAACCCUUACCAUACCAUUCCAAAACUCCAUUUUUCAUCAAAAUGUACCUAUUGUAUCAUAAUACACCAACCUUACCACAUUCUCCUUCUCAUUUCAUUACUUUCAAUUACAACAAUCAACCAUAUAACACUUUAUGAUCCAAAUCACCAUCACACUUACCAUUUCAUAAGUCAUCAUACUACAAUCAUCAUAAGGAACCAACUUCCAAUCCAUACAAUCAUUCAACAUCAACACAUCAUUAAAAUUCAUCACAAUCAACCCAACAAUCAUCAAUUCAUCGUCAUAUAACACACCAACCAUCAUUUUAGUUCAACCUAUCUUAUUGGUCACUAGCCAUGAAUAUUAUAUACUAGAUAGAGGAAAUCGAAACCAUACCUUGGCCGAUUCUCCUUUAUGCACCAAAACUCAAAUUGAUCACCAAAUAGCUUUCAACCAAAUUCCAAGCUUUCACAUCCACUCCACUAAGCACAAAUAAGUUCCAAGAGCUCCCAAAGCCACAACAAUCAAACUAUAUACAUAUAAAUCACCACCAAUCAACCUAGGGCUUAACAUAAAUCAAAUCUCACAAGAGUUUAGUAUCUCUUAUCUCUCCCAACAGAUUUGAUGGCCACAAUCUAAGGCUAAGCAAGGAUUAGAGCAAACCUAACAUCCAAAAUCACAAAAACUCAUUUAAUCAAAAACCCUAUAAACCCGAAAUUUUGAGGAGAGAAACUGAGAGGGAUUCGAGCUUUUCUUACCAAUUUCUUAUAUGGAUUUUUUAGAGCUCUUCACGAGGAACGCGUAGCCACUGACGGCACGCAAAUCGUAGCUCUCUAGCUCAAGAUAUCGCGAAGAGAAGAGAUGGGUGAAUAGUGCUCUUAGGGUUUCUUCUUCCUCUCUUCAAUUCAACAUGAGUGUUGUGUUUAUGUGUGUGUGUGGGCUGGAAAUGGGUUCGUUAAUGAACCUUUUAUAUGUUGGGCUUGGGCCCAACUUGGGCUCGGUCUAACCCGUUAGUGUUCUUAGCCCGUUUGGCCCAACUUCGGGCCAAACCUUUAAAAUUAAUGUCCGGUUUUUCAUUUCUAACAUUUUUCAAACGUUUUUGCCGGUUUUCACUUUUUCUCAUGCAGUACCGGGCAGAUUUCAACCGGUUCAACUGUCGGUUCGCGGUUUUUCACGGUUUUUCGUAGAAAACACAUUUUUUGACACAGAAAAACCCACUGAGUCCAAAAAUUACCUUUAAAUCCUCAAAUUCUCACUCUAACUUUUCUGAAUCUAAUUUGGGUAAUAUUAAUUACUAAACUAACCGAUUGAUUAGUUGCGAUUCUUAGUGAUGCACAUGACCUGGCCCGGCCUGGUCCCGAACACUUUAGGGGAUAAUUUGGUGUGAUUUCAUCGGGUUUAGGACCGGAUAAGGGUCUCAAAUAUAGACCCGGUCAUUAUUUCAAGUCGAAUCCGGGUCAUAGCUCGGGUCACCCGAAGUCGGCCCGGGGGCCCGGUCAUCAUACACAGUUAAUAUUUUGUGUUAUUAGUGAUGUAUAAUGACUAUUCUUAUGUGGAAUUUAAGUAUUGUAAACCUUAAUAUUUUGUGUUAUUAGUCAUUAUAAGACUAUAAGUUAAUGUUUUAUGUUUAGAAUGCAUAAAACUUUAGACUAAUGCAUAAUAUCGUGUUAUUUGUAUUGAUUUAAAUAUUUGGUAUUAUUAGACAAUAUUAGUAUUGAUUGUGGUUAUACUUUAAUAUUGAUUGUGGUUAUGCUUUAAUUUUGAAGAAGGGUUGGUUCUUGUUAUAUUUUUCUAAGUGAAUUUUACCAUGUUAAAUAAUAGUUGGAGUCUUAGAAAUUUGGAUAUUUUUACAUUAUAGCUUACAAGAAGGUAUCAACGUAAUGUAAUGUUAACGGCCCAGAUUUCACUCGGUAUAAUUGUGGCCCGAAAGUGUAUUAGUUUCAUCAGGUCUAGGGUCGGGUUCGGGUCUAAUAAAUAGACCCGGAGUAUAUUUCAGGCCGGAUCUGGGUCACAUCAAACCCGGCUUCACCCGGCCCAUGUGCACCCCUAGCGGUUCUUACAGAAGAACUCCCUAACCCUCAUCAAACACUCCAACCACCAUAACUUCCCUGUUUGAGCUCCGAUUGCCACACCGUUCGCAGCCACACGUCCAGCGCGUCGAGCUCUAUAUUUCUAUUAGAUUAAUUUCAUUGGUAAGCUCCAUUUUAGUUCCAGAAUCUCUAUUUCCUUUCUAUUCUUGAAUUUGAAACCCUAUGGUGAGAUUUUGCCCAAUUUGGUGUUUUAGGUUCGAUUUAGCUUGUGGGGGUUGUUGGGUUCGAGUUGCUAUAUGUAUUGGUGAGGUAAGAAUGCCCUAAACCUUAAUUCAAUUUUAACUUCAUUAGGUAAAAUCUGAAUUUGAAAUAUAUAUGCGUAUUAGGUGUGAAUUAAGUUCAUAUACAUGCUUUGGAAUUGAAAAGUGAACAUUUGGAGGCUUGCUGGUGAUUGAGGCUAAGUUUGUGGCUGGUUACUCUAACCUUGAGGGGCUAUUUUAAAGCUUGUGAGGCUGCCUUGGAUUAAAUAAAGCGAUCGGCCAAGGUAUAGUUUAGGUUUUGCACGUUUAACAUUUAAGGUGUUGUGAAAACUUAGGCUAGAGAACCAUAGGUUAAGUUUAAUUGGUUAAAUGCAUUAAAUGAUUAGUUGGGUGAAGAUGUUAGAUAAAUUUAUGGUUGAACUUGUAUUGGAGUUUAUGAUCACAAGUUGGUGCAGUUAUUGAAUAUGUGUUCUUGAAAUUGAGCUAGUGUUGAAAGUUAUGAGCAUGAAUUGUUGGUAUUGAAUAUGUGUUCUUGAAAUUAUUAAUGAAGGGUUGAUGAAGAUGUUGAUAUAUGUUAAUGGAAUUUAAUUGAUAUAUGUUAAUGAAGGGUUGCUCAUAUAUGUGAUAUAUGUUGAUAUAUAUUGGUGGUUAAGGCUUGUUGAAUUAGUUAAAGGUAAAUUUGGGAGUGGUUGUUAAUGAAAUGGGCUUGAUAUGUUAAUAAUAUGUAGGUUUUAUGGGUAGGGAAUGUGAAUUUGGUGAAAAUAAGGUUUGGGUAUUAUUUGGUAAAAAGUGAAUUUUGGUGAACUUUGGAAGUCCAUAACUUGCUCCUCAAUUUUUGGAUGGAAUUGUGGUUUGUUUCAAAUGAAAUAUGGUUUUAUAAGCUUUUGAAUGAUAUCAAUUUUGUGAAAAACAGAAUUUUGUAGAGAAAUUUAUGGACAAUGGAAGUUUGGUGUAUAAAACUGUGUUAUACAGGUGCUAAAAACUGGUUGUAGCAGCUUUCUGGGCAUUCUGCCAAUUUUUGGAAAACGUCAAUCCACGCAUACGCGUGGCCCACGCAUACGCGUGGCGUGGUAUUUUAACGACGGAUGCGCGAGUAGCCAUGCGUACGCGUGACGUGCUGUUCGCUCCACGCGUGCGCUUGGCCCACGCGCACGCAUGACCCCUGUUUGCUGCAAAAACUAGAUUUUUGGCACUUUAAAUCAGAUUUUUACUUCUAAACCUCCAUUUUCCUUCCUUUUAGACUUAGGGUAAAGUGCUAAGUCCUGUAGCUAGUUGAAGCUAGGAAAAUAAGAUAACUUGGGGAUGAAGUAAGAGGUAAAAUGAUGAAUUAUAUAAAGGAAAUGAGAAAGUUAAAUGAAGUUUAAUGCCAUGGCUUGAUAAAUGUUUAUAUAUUGAUUAUGAAAAUGAAAUGGCUUAUGAAUGAUGAUAUCUGAGAUAUGAGUUUUCUUGGGUAAGAACCGUGGCUUGCCACCACAUAUUCCAGGUUGAAUCUCGAUACUCUGCUGAUCCUACGUCGUAAGGGUGACCGGGCACGUAUAAAUUCCCGGGUAUGGAUAGCCCUCAUUGAGUGAUUACAUGAUGAAUGAAUGUAAAAUCUAUGCAUAGACUCUUGGGGAUGCGCGACGGGAGACAGUCUAAGGUUUUCGAACUUGUCGGGUUGGCUGGAUAACCGACAGAUGAGCCUCAUCAGCCAUAGGACAGGCAUGCAUCAUGUGCAUUUGUUUGUUUUGAUUGCUAUGCAUUUCCUGAGUUUGCCUAACUGAAUAUAUACAUCCUGCUACCUGUUAUACUUGUUACUUGCACUAUUUGCUUUUUACUUGUGCGUGAACUUAUUUGGUUGCUUGUCUCUGUUGAAUUUAAAAUGACGGAGGGACAGAGGAAGGGUGAAAUGGUUUGGAGUUAUGUUAGGUUUAAAAAGAGAGUAAAUUCAGGGAUAUUUAGGUUACCUACCCCUAUUUAUGCCUUCUGUUUAGAAAUUAAGUUUGAUAACUGGAUGACGGAGUUCUAGGAUUGCCUCUGGCAUUCCCAGGACCUUAUUUAUUAUACGCGUGGCACCUUUACCAUGCUAAGAACCUCCGGUUCUCAUCCUAUACUGUGUUGCUAUUUUCAAAUGCAGGUCGAGAGGCUUCUCGCUAGGCGUCUGGAUCUUGAAGCGGAGUAGUCCCUGGGUUAUUUUGGGUUUUAUGAUUGUAUAUAUAUGUACCUAUGUACUUAGCUUGCUCUCCAAGAAACUUGUUUAUUUUGUUCCUCAUAGAGGUUAAGGGAGAGCUAUGACCUUAUUUUGAGCUUUGAGUAUUUUGGGAUAUCUGUAUAUGUAUGUAUAUAUAUUCUUUGGCCAGCCUUGGCUUCGCAGGCUGAGUCAGGAGCUAGCUAUGUUAUUUUCUUGGCUUUCUUUUACUCUCUUGCUUAUCUUUAUCAUUACCUCUUAGGUUUCUUAGCACGCAAGUAAUCCUAUUUCUUGAGCGUUGCGCUUUUUAUUUUGCAAUUUUUUUUACUCAUUUUUCAAGACUCCUAGUAUAUUAUCUCUUUCACUAUUAUAUGUAUAUUUUAACUUAUUAGAGGUCCGUAACACCACACUACCUCUAUUCUACGACUUAAGCGUAAGACACUGUGUAGUAAGGUGUUAUAUUUUACGAUAAAAAUGUCAAUCUUUUCAGAAACAUUGAAUUGUAAACAUAUUAAAAAUUUAAAAUAACAAAUAAAAUGAAAUUAGAUUUAGAUUCUUAAAAAAGUAAGGUGUUCUUGUAGUAAUAAAUUAUACGUUAUCAUUGAAAAUAUGGGACGACAUAGCGGAUAGUCUACUUUAUCCUGUCAAGACCCACUUUUUAAAGUAAAGCAAAUUUAAAAUGUCAAUCUGCCAUAUUUUAUGGUGAAUUGGUGGGUCGAUGGACUAGCCCACCUAACUUAUUUAAAAUUCUUUUGUUAAAUUAUUUUAAUUUAACAAAAAAUNNNNNNNNNNNNNNNNNNNNNNNNNNNNNNNNNNNNNNNNNNNNNNNNNNNNNNNNNNNNNNNNNNNNNNNNNNNNNNNNNNNNNNNNNNNNNNNNNNNNNNNNNNNNNAUUUGAGUCAUAUAUGAAAGUGUAGAAUAAAGUUAAUAACAAAAAAAUGAAAGAAAUGUGUUUAGAAAUUAUAUAAUUAAUUUUUGUAUCACUAAUUACUCUUUUAUAUAUAUAAAAAACUUUGGUCAGACGCACUAGCUCGUCCUGCCCUGCCAAAAUCCAUGGGUUUGGCAGUGUGAACUUGCGCAGAUUUUUUUAAAUUCAUCAGGUUCCAAAUCCUUACCCAGCAUGCUUUUUGUAGUGAGUUUAGCAGUCUGCUCCGUUUAGUCACCACUGAAAAGAAUAACUUAACCUAAUAGAUAAAUUAAACGUUAAAUUAUUUUGUUGGUCUCUAUAGUUAUACCAAAUUUAUAAUUAGGUCUUUAUAUUAUUUUUUCUUUUAAUUGGGUCCCUACACUAAUUUUAGUUUUAUAAUUAGGUCCUCACUAGUAUAAAAAAUGCUAGAACUAACGAAAUAUUUUUGCAUAAAUUAAACGUAUCUAUAAUUAAAAAUCUAAUUAGAUAUCUCGCCACAUAUUUUUUUGGAGGAAUAUUCUGUUGCUUUUAACACUUUUGACACAAAAAUGACCAAAUUAUAAAAUUAAAAGUAGUAUAAAGAUUCAAUUAAAAGGAAAAAAAAAAUAUACGUGUUUAGAAACUUGUAAUGAUAUAGAAUUAAAUUUCAAUAUUUGAAAUGAAUUAGUAAAACUACAAAAUUAAAUUAAAUUCUAGUAUUUAAAAUGUUUAUCAAAUAAAUUAAAAUUUUGUAACGGACAACUUUAAUUUAUCUUUUAUUAACAUAACAUCAUAUUAAAAUAAUAAAUAUACUUAUUCAUUAAAUUAUAUGAAAUAACUAAAAAGAUUGUAUUUUUCAACUAACAUUUUUUUUCAACUAAAAUUUGUUCCUAUCUUUAAAAAAAAAAACAAAAAUUGACUUUUAUUAAGUUAAUCUCUUCAACAAAAAAACAGAUAGCAAAACCAACUAUAAAUGCAAAUUCUAGUUGUUUUACAAGUCCAUUAAAUUAAAAACAUCAUUAGAAAAAUACUUUAAUAUAAGAGUUAAUAUUCAAAUUUGUCCCCGAAAGAUACCUCGAUCUCCAUAUUAGUCCCCAAAAGAUAAAGUUAAUCAAAAGAGUCCUUGAAAGAUACCCAAGUUAAUCACGUUUGUCCUUCCGUCAAGUCCUUUAAUGAGCUGGCUAACCUCUGAUAACGUGUUACGUUAGCUGCCUCCGUGGAAGAUGCCAACGUGUCAUUAGCUAUUGCUGACAAGGUAAGUAUGGGAAAACUGUUCAAAUCAGUCCCUCAGUGUUUGAAACCUAAUCCUAAUUUUCACAUUAAAUACGUUGCGUUCAACAAUCAGAGGGGCAUAUACUUGGGUAAGUGUUGAAAUUGGCUGGUUUGGGGCGACGAAGGAGGCAGCAAAUGGAGGCCGUGGCGGUGGUGUCUCGUUUCCGUCGAACGGCAGUAACGGUUCCAGCGCUUCAAUGCGAACCAGGAGGAAAACCCAUGAGGAAUCAUGUUUCUGUGGGUUGAAGGCUGCGUUGCGAAAAUCUGGGACAGCAGAGAACCCAGAUAGACUAUUCCGUGCAUAUCCAAGGUACCGGGUGAGUGUUGUGUAAAAGAUUAGGAGGAUGCUUUGGAUGAUCUUUUAUAGGAAUAAAUAAUUACUCUCAUUGAAUUGGUGUUUCUGUUUUAACUGUUAAGUGCUUUGCUUGUAUCAUUUAUCCUCUUAAGGUAUUAAGAGUUUUAUGAUUAUAAAUAUAAAGACUAAUCUAUUUAUUUGUUAAUUCUGUUUUUCCCCUUGUUUUAUCGUUAUUAGGAAUUUAGGAUCAAGAAUAUGAUUUGAGUUCCAGUGAAUUCUUUUGGAUGAAUUUGAUUCAUUUUUAAUUUGUUUUGAAAAUGAACCUGGCAAGCAAGUUAGGAGUGCAAUCAC
rnacentral:lncRNA from 1 species